rnacentral:lncRNA from 1 species
CAUUAAUACUAUUGAUGGAUGGCCAUUCCAUUCUUAGGACUUUAGAGAUGAGCUGAUUCUGCAAACUUACAAUCUUUGUCUCUCGAAUGUUAGACAAGAAGCAACAAUUAUCAAAAUCAGCCGACAGUUUAUUAUAGACAAUUGUGGCAAGAGUUGUCUUUCCGACACCACCCAUACCAUGGAUACCAACAAUAUUUGUUCCAGUGGUCUGUUCACUUAUCUUUUCCAUGAUUUGGUCUACUUGAUCAUCCAUUUCAACCAAGCAAUUAGAUACUGCCAGGUAGUUCUUUUUCAACUCGAUCAAAAGCUUCCAAACAACUUCUUCGGUGAACUCACAUUUGCCUCUGAUAGUAGUGAUGGCAAAAGAACCCAACUGUUAAAUCGAGAUGAGCAAAAUAAUAUCUAAGGUACAAACAAAUCCUGAACAAUAAUAAAUUCAAGUACCUCUCCUUGAGUUCCCAUCCUCUUAACGCUCCAACCUUGCUAAGAGCUACCUUCCAGUUAUGAAUAGUCUCAUCAGUGUACCGCCACUUAUUUAUGUGUAAAUUAAUGGCCUCACCGUAACUUCCAGUUUGGUUACGAACCUCGGAUGGUGCUAUGUUGUAGAAAAUCGGCAUAAUCUUUCGUCCCCAGCUUUCCUUGCACCCCACCAUUUGGACCAUGGACUGGCAGCAUAUCAUUUAGAAAGAUAGAUGAGGACUGAGGAGUACAUACAUCCUUUGGGGGCAGUACCUGAUCUUAAUAAACAGCUAACUCUAUCAUUUCAGAGUUAUCCUAAAUUGCAUACCCUAUUAGUAAACGAGUAUAUCGCAUAGCAAUAAAUAUGAAAUGCACUGGCACGUACAUACCAAGUGACUAUAUCUAUCGCCAUGUUUCAAACAUUUGCAAAUAAACCUACAUGCUUGUUUAACAAUGGAUGCGAUUACAUUAAUUAGUUUAUCUAUACCUUGAGUCGUUGGGGUAGAUUUGUCAUACACCUACCCUGGAAAAAAGGGGCUACAAGGUUCGUGGUAAUUUAAGUGCGAUUGCAACCCAAACCACUUUGAGAGCCCACUCCUGAUGUGACCGGCAGUACUAAACUAUGUUUCUGGAGCUUCUUAGGUUGAUGUCCUUUGAAUUUUGUGAUUGGUGCGAAGAUGACAUCUCUCUUGCAAAUGCACGAGAGAAGUCAGUGCAAUCUGCUAAAUGUAUGAGAGUGGUUGGCCCGUCCCCAGCAGAACCGCUCGAACGAUUAUCAAAUACUGUCGCAGAACCCAGGAUGUUCUUUUUAUAUAUCUGCUCUGCCCUUCGGAGUAGAAUACAAACAAAAAUCAUGUAAAGUCGCUGAGAGAGGUGAACUACUCUGCAUUUUAUACAGUAACUCCGACCCCAACAUGAUGUGGCCCGACGACAUUGGUGCUUCAGGGGUUGUUGCUCAGAGCAGAACACCGAACUGCUUCAAAAGGGUUGGUGAGACCAAAUCGAGUCAAUUUUGUAAUGGACUCAGUCAUCUUUCACUUUCCGAGGUCAUUGUCCCGCAUAUUGUAAUGAACUCAGUUUACCUCCAGAGACCGCCCAUGACGUCCGGCACAGUGCCCGCUAAGAUUGUAAUGGAUCCAAUGAUGGUGAUGUUAUUGCAACUGCUAUCGCGUGAGGGCUCACUACCCUAGCUAGGACCUCGAGGAGUAUUGCCAGCCCUUAUUGGGACAACAUAUAAACCCCCAAUUAUUCUCCCAUUCCCGAGCUCUCGUCUCUUUGCUGCCUUCAUCAUUUUCUUUGUUUUUUGUCUUUCAAAUUUGAUGUUUAUUUUUCAAUUUUUAUGAUUUUUACUUGUUUGUAGUGCUCUUCAAUUUUGUGACGUGACAUUUCAUGGAACAAUUUUGUGUUGUACCAAAAAGAUUGAAAUGACAAUUAAGGGAAAUGAACUAAAAAAUAAUUUAAACCUAUUAUAUUGGUACUAAUUCAAUUCUAAAUCUUUAAAUUAGAUUAAUUUAAUCAUGGAUUUUUUAUAUUUGUGCCAAUUAAGUCCAAUCUGUUGAUUUGAAAGUUGGCUGUUUUAUAAGACACGGCUAGCGUUGAUAUGGACAAAUUUUAAUUCUUUUUAAAUAUUAUUUUUUUCCCUUUUCAUUUUGGCUAGUGAGGAUAUGCAUUCCCCUAUGAUGAUCUUAUUGGAAAAGUGAAAUCAAGAAAUUUAACCGAAGCUAAUUCAACCCUCACCGUUGGACUAGUUUCUAAAGAGCAUAAACUAAUCUCUAAUUAGAGUCAUCUCUUAGUAUGUUAACAAACAGGUACAGGGUCAAUGGGUGAGCAUUAGAAGCUAUCAUUCUCAUUUGCCAGAAAGUAUCAACAUAUCAGAAAAAGGAGUCAAUCACUAACCAAUGAUGGGGUUGAUGAAAUUUCCACAGAAAAAAGAAGCAUGAAUGCUAUAACCGUUUCUCUGGAAAAUAAGUUUGAACACACAAGAGUGCAGGAACGAGAGCUGUAUUUUACGGAAACGGAGAGUUCCGGUUCACCACAGAGUGCAACAUUAUAGUCGAUUCAAUCUAUCUCUACUAUUAAAUACAGAGUUGAGGGUAUCAAUUUCUGCCUAGGAGCGUUCUUACUGCUAAUCACUAGACAAUAAUGUACGAAUUUGUCAUAUGGGAGUCUCUUAAAGAUACCGCUGUCUCUGUUCGCAAAGAAAUUUAAAAACAAAUCCCAUCAAACGAAUGAAAUCAACAGAUCCACUCAAACUAGUAUAGCUUUUAGCACCGGCCUAGUUCCUAAAGAGCGUAAAUCUAAUUCCUAAUUACGGAAAUCUCUGAGAUCUAUCAACAAGCUGAUGCACAGAAGUGGCAUUGUGUUUCAAGAUCUGAGGCCUGACAGUUGCACAGAUGGAAGCAGAUGAGCAGGGUUUAGCAUGUAACUAGAGCGAGAGGCUUAAGGCUUCUAGUGUUGGACGCAACUCGCAGUGAUCAAUCAUCGAGUCAAAUGAGGAGAGAGUCGAUGCUGAUCUGAGAGUCCCUCUACUGUUCCCAUCAGAUUCUGCCCCUAGUUACAUUACUGAACAUACCCAAUUCAUUGAAAAAAGCAAUAGAUGAGAGGAAAUUAGCAGAGAUGGAGGGGGUUGAAGAUGAAGAGUCACGAUCGAAAUGCUGAGAAGGUGACUUGAUACUCACCCUUUCGCGCCGACCGCAAAGUACAGAAAAUGAGGGAAUCCGCCUUUCUUUUGAGGCAUUCGAGGUUUUUUUUUUUUUUUUUUUGCUCGGUCCUACUUUAAUCAUAUUCUAACACUCACUCUCAGACUUGGGUUACUUCGAAAAAACUCCCGAGUCCAAAGAGUUUUUGGCUCUAAAGUCUUAUUUGUUUAGAAAUCAUAAUGACGAUGAAACCCCUCUUUUUUUUUUCCUUUUUUUUUUUGGUGAAAUCGUGGAUCCAUUUAAAUUAUUCAUGAAUGAAACCUACACAUUUUAAGUAUUUCAGAUGGAUUAUAACAUGAAGUUAUUCGCAGUAAAUUUACAAAACAAAAGUUUUUUAAAUAAUAAAAGUUGCAUUCAGUUAUUAAAAUCUGAUUUGUUUCGCAAAAAAAUGAAUGAUUGAAAACAUAUUUUUCAAAAAAUAAUUAUUUAUAUCACUUGAAAUCCUUAGUUAAUGAAAUAUGUUUUUAUUAUCAAUAACAAUUUAUGCAUAAAUAUUUUUGUGAAAUAUUUUUUAUUCAUUUAUUUUUGUAAAGGAUACAAGCGAUUAUUUUUCAGAAAAUAUUUUUCAAAUUAUUCAUUGUUCCUUAAAGAUCCAAAAAAUUUAUCAUGCAAAUGAAAGUUUAUCAAUCAUGGAUGGUUUGAGCAGAACUUCUGCCAUUUCUACUUUCCUUUCGCAAAUCUUGGGCAAUGUCCACAUUACCACUAGAAGGAAUCUUUAAAAAAAAAUUUGACCAAGGGAUUUUUUCUUUAAAGUAGUUAUCAUAUUUUUUAGAUUUGAAUAGUCGAAUCAAUAGAAAUUAGGAUUGGUUAUAUAUAUAAUCAUGAAAAUAUUAAUAAUGACGAAUUACAAAAUAUUAGUCAACUUAACUUAUUUUUUUAUUAUCUAUGAUUAAAGUAAAAUAAGAACAAUAAAUCGAUGUAUUGAUGCUAUUUAGUCAAUUAAAAAAAAUAAACCAUUAUAAUUUUCUUAAUUUUGAAACAAUGGCCAGUAAAUUAAUUUAAAUUUCUAAUUUCGAGAUAUAAUGCUGUAGAAUAUCUAUAUUAUGAAGAAUAUGCAAUCAUAUUGUAAAUAAUAUGUUAAAAGCUGGUAUCUUUUUUUCAUUACAUUCUCAAAGUUUGUUUUUCAUACAAUCAAUAAAUGAGUCACUGUUUUGCUCCACUACCUAUAUCUAUGUUAUAGCUCUCCUGGGAAUUCAUCAAUUGACAGUAAUGUGAGCCCUCGCUCUAUUUGAUUUCAUUAAUGCUUCGAUUCAUUUACACAUUAUAUAUAUAUAUAUAUAUAUAUAUAUAUAUAUAUAUAUAUAUAUAUAUAUAUAUUAGCAUACAAAACACAUUGCAAAUUUGCAAGGGAGAGAUAUGCACAAUAUUUUGUAUGCAUCGAAAUUUAAUUAAUCCUCGUCCAACUAUAUUUGUGUUGAUGUGAGCAUUUGUAAUUGAUAUAGUAAUCGUUAGUACACUGUUUUUCUUUUACAGAGAGCCAAGCUAAUUAAUAAAAUUAUAUUAAAUUAAACUAUAUCGAUUUGGAUUCGCUUUUACUUUCUUUUUCUUUUUAAAUUUUUGCUUCUGUAAUUUACACUGCCCACGGACUUUAAGUCUUUUUCGAAGUCCCGAAACUUUCACAAUAGUUGGAUGUUAACACGUACAUUUGUAUUUAUUCAUUUCAUAAUUUUUUGAAAUCCAAAUUAUAUUUCAACUUUUGAUAGGAAAAUAAAUUUUUUUUUUUUUAAGUCCAAACAAAGUGGCGUUAAAGCUGUUAAUUUUCGCCAUUUCUUUACGAUUUCACUUCGCGUGCUGGAUGUUUAGGUGAUACGAUGCUGAAAGCACCGUUUCCAUGGGGGAGACAACUGGUGCACUGCCAUGUUCUUUAAUGAUAUCGUCCCGAGUCCCAAUUAUCGAUCGUUAUGUCUCUCUCAUCGCCAGAAAGCGCUUGACUUGUUCGAUGAAAUGCCGCAGAGGGCUCUUGUCUCUUAGAAUUCAUUGAUUUCUGGGUCGUCCCAUCAUGGGUUUUAUGAAGUCUCUGAGUAUCUUCAUGCAGAUGCAAAGAAAUUAUGAUCGUCUGUUCAUGGAUGAAUUUACUUUUGUGGGUGUUGUGGCUGCCUGUGCUCACUUGGGUGCAUUGAAGUUCUUGCUUCAAGUUAAUGGAGUUGCCAUCAUAAUGGGCUUGGAAUUUACUAAGAUUACUUAUAAUUCUCUGAUUGAUGCUUAUGGGAAAUGUGGUGGAGCCGAUAAAUGCCGUGACUUGUUCGAAGUUAUGCCUGAGAAGGAUAUUGUGUUGUGGACUUCCAUGGUUGUUGCUUAUUCGCUAGCUCAUAACUUGGAUGAUGCUUGUGCAAUAUUCAACAAUAUGCCAGCGAAGAAUACGGUCUCUUGGACUGCAAUGAUUGCAUGCUUUGCACAAAAUGGCCGUGGUGAUGAAACUUUGGACCUUUUCGUUCGAAUGCGUGAGGAAGGAAUACAGCCAAGUCCUCGUACUUUUGUCAGUGUUCUAUGUGCUUGUGCUGAUUGAGCACUUGCUGAAAGAGGCAAGCAGAGUCAUGGUUGCAUAGUCAGGACCUGCUUUGAUAGAGAUUUGGAUAACAUAUCUGUAUGGAACGCUCUAAUUGACAUGUAUUGCAAGCGUGGCUACAUGAGAGCAGCUGACAUCUUAUUCUUGAGGAACCCAGAAAGGGCUAUUGUAUCAUGGAACUCAAUGAUAAGUGGAUUUUCACAAAAUGGUUUAGGGCAUGAGUGACUUGUUUUUGUCAAGAAGAUGCUGGAGGCAAAUGCAAGAUUCUACCAUGUCACAUUUCUUGGCACUCUAUCUGCUUGCAGCCACGCAGGUCUAGAUGUUGAAGCACUUCAGAUUUUCAAUGCAAUGGAAAAGGACUACACAGCCUUCAAAAGAGAUCCGACCACUAUGCUAUUUUGGUCGAUCUGCUCAGGAGGAAAUACAGACUUGAGGAAGCCAUGGAAUUGAUAGAUAGUCUCAAACAAAUCAGAGCAUGUUGUGCUUUUCGGUUAAUGCAAAGCCCUCGGUAAUCUUGUUAUUGCCUGAAGCUGUGGAUAUCUAUUGAAGUUGAACCCCAAAAUGCUGCGAAGUAUGUGUCACGUUAUCAAGCAUCUAUGCUGCCAUUAACAGAUGGGAUGAUUCCUGCACAGUAAGGAAGCAAAUGGAGGAGAGAAACUUGAUGAAAGAUGUGGCAAACAGUUGGAUUGAAGUAAAGUAUGAAAUGCACAAAUUUCCAGCAAAGGACCGAUUCCACUAUCAGAUAGGAGACAUACACGAAGUGCUCGGGAAACUACCUUAUCAUAUGAAGGAAGCUGGAUAUGUUCAUGAGCCCCACAUAAGGCUCAUAUAUUUUAAUUUGAAUCUAUCUAAUUUAACCUCAAAUGAUGUCUAUAAUUUUUUUUUUUUUAUUGCUAUACUAUAAUCAAUACUCUCAGCCCAUAAAUCUAUCCUAUUUUUGCUGAGUCCUCUGAUCUAGUUUUUAAACAGAUACACAGAAACACUGAUCUAAAUGUCCCUUAACUCGGAACCUGACCAAUCUAUGAUUUUUUUUCCUUUUUGUGGGGUUAAGUCUAAACUCAGGAAGCGAGAGCACUAAGUCUAAACUAAGAGCUCAAGUUCACGUUGGAUAAUUUAAUCCAUGGGGUAUGUAUGAAUAAUCAAUAAAAUAGAUUCAAUGAGAUGACAUUCGGCUUAAUACUUAAAUGCACAAAAAUGAACAUACUAUAUGCGCAUAUACCACCACAUAGUAGCUCAUCCAUAUAUUCAGAUGAGUAUAUUCGUUAUUCGUCACUGCUUGUGACUCAUCUUGACUAAUGGGGCACCGCCACCACCAAUUCAUGCUCAUUGCACAACCGUCUAUGGCAUACUCAUUCUCCUCAAUAUUCAUUCUCACUUUAUUAUCUUUAUUUUCUCAAUCUUGAACCUCAAGUUUAUAAUAUCACAUAGCAAACUACUCAAGUCAUAUCAAGCUGCACAAAUAAUAUCAUUUUAUAUAUGAAUCAGGGGAAUCAGGAAAACAAACUAUAGUGUUGGCAUAUUAUUGACAAUACUUGUAGAAAUUCAAAAGAGUUUGUAAUUUGCUUAAUUAUUAGAAAGUUGGUAAAAUUCUUGAUAAUGUUGGCAAUUUCUUUUAAUUUAUCAGUAAAAUUUCAGAGGAGUGGAUAUUUUACGACUUCAUUCGAAUGUUGACAAAUUCCUCAUAGUGUCAGUAAUUUACUUACAAUAUCAAUAAAGUUCAGAAAAAUUGGUAAUUUAUUAAUUCAUUGGAAUGUUGGUAGAUUUCCAGUGGUGUUGGUAAUUUAUUAAUGAUCAGGUUUCAAGUCAUAACAUUUUACCAGCAAGAUUGGAAAAUUACUAGUAAGAUUGGAAUUCUACCAAGACAGAAAGUUUUCAAUUUUCCACAGCAUGGGACCGUAAAAUUUUGCAUAGCUUCAUAAGUCUCUACCUCUGCAACAAGAACUUAAAUCCCAACUGAUAAUUUCAAUUGUUGAAACAAGAAACGCAGUAAUGAAUCAUUCAGAAGCCCCUGUAGAAAUCUGUUCAAAAUUAUCAAAACUAAAGGACCUUUGUGACCAUUGCACAUGAUCAUUAACUAGGGAGGGUUAUGUUCAUGCUAGACACGAUGUUUUGCCCAUACUUCUUCAUUUCUUCAAUGUAGAAAUUUUCAGGGGAAAUCAGCAACAAUUCUGCAAAUACAGUCGCUGAUGUCUAAUUAAAUUCGCAACACUGAAUGCAAAACAUUGCACAUUAAUCUCCGUGAACGAAUUUUGGAGCAAGUCAUCUUGAAUCCUUGAUGAAUUUCUCCCGUGACGAGAUUAAUUACUAACUGCACCGCUAAACAUUUUAGAAGUAGGACCACAACAGACCAAGAGAAAAAGAAAGAAAUUGCAGAACCAAUCUACUAUAGUAAGGUUUCAUGCCUUCCAGGACAAUAUUUCGGUUUUAGCUAGACCUUGACAAGCUCAGAAGAACAACCGAUUCCCCAUGUAUGUUUUGAACUAGUUCCUAAUCCCCUAAUUGGUGCAGAAGUGAACUGACGCACAGGAGUUGCAAUGUGUUUCAAUAGAAUGUGACUUGGUUAAGGCUAAAGCUAUUAAAGAUUAGAUGCAGAUGGAACAAAAUCAAUCGAGUGAGCUGUCGAGGGAGUUCAUCGAAAGGCUGUUUUCAUUGCGUAUGUAUGAUAAGUCAUGACUGAAAAUAAUAAAAACCAACUCAAUCCGUUCCAAAUAUUUUCCCAAUCUAUCACUGAUUGCAUCGAAGAUUCGCACGCAGACCCAAUUCAUGCAAAUGCGAAGAGAAAAUUACCAGAAGAAAAGAAUAUAGGCGAAGAUGAAGGAAACCAAAUGAAGAUGCAGAGAAGGAAGAACCCUCGUUGGCCUCAGUUAGCUGCAACCAAAACGGAAAAGGAAGAUCACAAUCCAUUAACCCCUCGGUGGGAACAGAUCGGGGUGGCAGUCCCCGGAGGGAGAUCUCCGCCUGGUUGAAUCGCAUCUCGUUCUUCCGCUCGGGGUCGCUGCCGCUGCUGGUUCUGGGCGAGCUUCUCACUCACGUCGUCGCUGGUGAGGGAGGAAGACGAAGGAGAAGGAAAGAACGUGAGAAGACACAGAGAGAGCAACGGGAGAAAAAACGAAACAAAUAUAAAAAAACACAGAGACAGAGAAAAAGUUUAAAUUUCUUAAGAGUGGGUCCCACCUUUAUGCGUCAUCUCGAGAUGAUAUUCCUCACCAAUCUCCUACGGAAUCUUCUCUCCCUGAUUUCAGUACCCUCCCCCUACUUCUUUGGAAGGGUCUUCGCACUUUUUUCAAAUCUCGGUACUCAUCGGAUUCCAUAAUCUCCUCCAAUCUCUCAGAGUCUUUUAUUUCCAAAUCCUCUAGCUUCUUGAAGCUUGAAGGAUCAGAAAACUUUUGCAGAGACCCGCAGCCAUCAAUAAGAAGAAACAUCACUGAUUUCAGCCUACCUCGAACCAGACGAGGACAAUGCAUUAAUUCAAUAUGCUUAAGCUCCUUGGCGUUGGUCAGGUCAGGCAACUUCUCUAGUAACGGAAGAUCGUCCACACAUAAGACCCUCAAGUUCUCUGAAACUUCCAAGCCUUGAAUCUCUCCUAGCUUCCAACAGCCAUCUAUAUCCAAUUCUUCUAUAUGCUUAAAGCUCGAUGGAUCAGGCAGAUGUUCAAGUGAUUCACAGCAAGUUAAAUGGAGAGACUCCAAUGAUUCAAGCUUACCUCAAACCUCAACCAAUUUAGGACAAACUUCUAUCCAAAAUCUCCAAAGCUUCUUUAAGCUGGUCAGGUCGGGCAACUUCACCAGCGAUGGAAGAAACACAAGAUCAAGCCUUUGCAAGUUUUUCAAAGGUUCGAGGCCUUGAAUCUCUAUUAGCUGUUCACAAUACCAGAUUUCCAAUUCUGAUAACUUCUCCAAAUAUGAAAGAUUUAUUGACUUUUCUGUUAACCCGUGCCCAACAAAAUGGAAGUAUGACAAAUUCUGAGGAAGCUUAGGUAGGCAUUCUAGGUUAUUUUUGAAGAGUUCAAGCUUCCUGAGCUUCAAAAGGAGAUUAAAAUCUGAAGGUAGGGUGACCAGACUAUGACAACACAAUGACAAUGACUCUAGCUUUCUUAACCCUCCGAUCCAAUUGAGGCUUGGAGCUGGAUGGGAAGGCCUUUGAUACUCCAAUCCCAACGUCAAAACCCUCAAAUUUAAUAGGUUCGAGAGAUCUGGGAAUCUUAUUAGUUCAUUACUGGUCAGGUAUAGUUUGGUCAUACUUUCAGGAAGCUUAGGUAUAUUGGAAAUUCUCGUGCCCGAUAACCUGAAGAUUCUUAGAAAUGAUAGUUCUCCAAUCUCACUUGGAAUUUCCCCACACAAACGUCUACAACAGGUAAAAUUGAUCUCUUCAAGCUUCUCUAACAUCCCAAGGGCGCUAGGUAGCUUUUCUAAGUCGGACAUAAACAUCCUUAGUACUCUCAAAUUCUUCAUUGUCUCUAUUGAAUUAGAUAACUCUCAUAUUUUCGACCCAUAAAGAUUCAACUCAACGAGAGAUCCAAAAUUUCCAAAUGGAAGUUCACUAAUUCCGGUAUCCGACAAGUCAAGAUAUGAUAGUGAUGUUGAGCAACCAGCUAAAUUGCAUUCGCUCAGUAAUCUACAAUGUUUUGCACUAAGAGUUUCCAAUUUCUCCAUUCCUUUCCAUUCAGGAAUGUUGGUAAUAGAUGUGCCAUCAACAAGGAGUUCUGUCAAGGCUUCUAGUUCCUCUAUCUCGUCUGGCAAUGUCUGAAAUUUACUAUAAUAAUUCAAGUUUAAUAACACUAAAUGCUUUAACUUACCAAUAGACCUCUCAACUUGAACUAGUUCCACGCACCCUUCAAGAAUCAAUUGCUCUAACUUUUGAUGAGCAGAAAAUUUAGGAGUUCUAAGCAACUUUUUGCAAUCAAUCAAAUUUAGAACCUUCAAAUUCUUUGUCGUCUGUGAUGAAGAGAAGAGGUUGAUUUUGAAUCAUUUUGAGAUAUAGGACAGCAAAAUCAAUAGAGCAAAUUCAUGUUGAAAUAAUAUCAUACCUCGAGGUGGUUCCAUCCCUCCCACUCAUCAGUAAUUCCACUCCUUGAUACAUCAAGAAUCACUAGCUUCUUAAGAGAACAUGCGGUGAACUUGUGAAAGACAGGGAAGUUAUGCCAUGAGAGCCAUCUCAAAUUCGGAAGCAUGAUGCACAAGUUGGUAGAAGGAAAAUGCUGAACGUUGUUCUCAUCCAAGUCUACACAAUCCACUUGAAUAAAUCUUAAAUUAAUAGGCUUAAAGAUUCUUCCUUCUCAAUGAAGUCUUGAAAUUGAUGAUCAUAUUUGAGACGUAUUGUUUCAACAUUUUCUCUUCCCUGCCAAAGCAAAAAAAAUAAAACAAAAGCUAGCGAUCACAUAAUUGCCUAUUAAAGGCAUUCGAGUUGAGCACACUUGAGGAAUGCACAUCUUAUUUAUAAUUUAAAAAAAAUACAAUAUAAUUUACAGAUCAGCAUGUGAUCAUACUAAGCACACAAGUAAUGAAUAGGUUUAGAUAAAAGCAAAUAAGUAAAGUCAACAUGUAUAACUCGUCUCUUUGAAUAGGAAUAAUAUUGCAAAAACUUUACCUUCUUUAUUCCAAGAACAUUAAUUGCUUGCUCAUGAUCCCACACCCGACUUUGCUCCUCUGGUUUAUAAUCACCAUUCUUACAAACGAAAUCUCGUCCAAUGUCUCUUACAAUAUCAUGCAUCCAUAGUCGGUUAUGUUCUAUAAUCUUUAUUAAUGACAUCUUUUGGAGGACACAAAGAUAAAAGUCAGGUUGAAACCUACAGCUUUCCCACAUGUGACUCACAAUUCUCACAUCAAACCCAAUGAAGAAGCAACAAACAUCGAGAAAUAUUUUCCGCGCUAGUGGGUGUAAUGCCUCGAUACUAAUGUUCAAUUUUUUUUCAACUUGUUCAUCGGGAAUAGUUUCCAGCUUCUUUAAUGUGGUCUUCCAAGAUUUUUUGUCUUCCUCAGCUAAAAAAGAACCUAUGAUCUCAAGAACUAAAGGAAGACCACCGCAAAUUUUUACUGCUAUUUUCAAGAGGUUGAUGUAUUUAGCCGAAGGAUGAUCACUUUUAAAGGCAUGUAACAGUAUAAGGGAAUGAUCAAAAUUCAUUUCAAUAAAUUUGUGCUUCAUAUCAACAUGUUUGAGAACUUCCUCAUUUCUUGUGGUGAUAAUAACCUUACUUCCUCUGCAAAACCAGCGUUUAUCCAUCCCCACAAGAGCAUCCAGCUCAGUCUUUUGGUCGACAUCAUCAAUUACAAGUAAGACCAUUUUAGAGGAUAAACUCCUCUUGACCUCAGUUAUCCCUUCUGCAAUGUCAUGGAUUGGCAGACAUUUCCCUUUUCGGAGAGUAGAGAUGAGUUGAUCCUGUGAAUUCAAAAUUCCUUUAUGUCGAACGCCGAACAGGAAGCAACAGUUAUCAAAAUUAGCCGACAAUUUAGUAUAGACGAUUCUAGCAAGAGUUGUCUUUCCGACACCGCCCAUUCCAUGGAUACCAAUAAUCUUUGUUUCAGAGGUGUCUUCGCCUAUCAUUUCCAUGAUCUUGUCCACUUGAUCAUCCAUUUCAACCAAGCAAUCAGGUGCUCCCAAAUAGCUCUUUUUCAACUCAAACAAAACCUUAGAAACGACUUUGUUCUUGAACUCGCCUUUGCCUCUGAUAGUUUUGAAGCCAAAGAGCCAACUGUUAAAUUGAGAUGAACAGAACAAUAUUGAAGGUACGAACCAAUUGUGCACAAUAAUAAAUUCAAGCACAUCUUAUUAAGUCCGCAUCCCUUUAAUUUUCCAACCUUGUUGAGAGCUACCUUCCAGCUCUGAAUAGUCUUAUCAGUGUGCUUAUUCAUGUGUGACUGGAUGGUGUCACCGUAGGUUGCAGUCUGCUUACGAACCAUCCGUGGUUCAACGUCAUAGAAAAUUGGUAUGAUCUUUUGUCCCCACUUUUCCUUGCACUCCACCAUCUAAGUCAAUUCCACGAGGCACCAUUUACUAGCAGCAUAUUCUUUACAAAAGAUAGGAAUCGAGAUUUUCGACUGCACCAUUCAAAUUUUACAUAUAUUAAACCAAAAAAUAUAGAAUUCAUAUAUUUUAAUUAUGUCAAAAUUAUACACAAUAAGUUCGUAAAAAAAAGAAAAUUAGAAAAAAUAACAUUAUUAAUGUCAUAACUUUCAUACAAUACUCACCUAAUGCUAUAACUUUUUUGGGAUUGGUUAGGUAAUAUAAUUUUCAUCUGACAUUCACUGAAAUGCCAUAAUCUUUUAUUUUUUGCACUUGUUCAAAUUGUUUACCCAAGAAUGAAUGUUCCCACAAGGACCGCUGGUCUACCGCUGUCCUUGGUUCUCCACUAUUUGACGCUUCCUCUUUUCUCCAAAUUUUAAAAUUUUUCUUUUUAAUUUUUUCUUAAAAAUUGAUGACAUGGCAGCUAUAUCAAUGCCUCCAUCUUCAAGGGAAAAAAAAAUCACGUUCGUUUUUUCUAUUAGCUGAAUUGGAUGAAAUUAAUAACAAGACUUGAUUGCACGAAUUUAAUGAAUUUUAAAAUUUGAUCGUACUUUUUGCAAGGGAUAAUAACACAAAUGGUUUUUAAACUUUGACUUAAUAUGUAAUGUCAUAUUUAGAUUUGUAAUUUAUUCAAUAUGAUCUCUAAAAUAUUGAUAGAUGUUCAAUUUAGUCUUUAGAUUAAAUGUGCUAUUUUCAUAUAGUUUAACGACUAGAUUAGAUAUUUAUUAAUAGUUCAUAAAUCACAUCAAAUAAAUUAAAAUUUUUAAAAAUGACAUGACAUAUUUUGCCAGAGUUUAAAGAUCACAUUAAACAAAUUUCAAAUUCAAAGACCGGCUGCUUUUGCAUAAUCUUUUAUUUUUUGCACUUGUUCAAAUUGUUUACCCAAGAAUGAAUGUUCCCACAAGGACCGCUGGUCUACCGCUAUCCUUGGUUCUCCACUAUUUGACGCUUCCUCUUUUCUCCAAAUUUUAAAAUUUUUCUUUUUAGUUUUUUCUUAAAAUUUGAUGACAUGGCAGCUAUAUCAAUGCCUCCAUCUUCAAGGGAAAAAAAAAAUCACGUUCGUUUUUUCUAUUAGCUGAAUUGGAUGAAAUUAAUAACAAGACUUGAUUGCACGAAUUUAAUGAAUUUUAAAAUUUGAUCGUACUUUUUGCAAGGGAUAAUAACACAAAUGGUUUUUAAACUUUGACUUAAUAUGUAAUGUCAUAUUUAGAUUUGUAAUUUAUUCAAUAUGAUCUCUAAAAUAUUGAUAGAUGUUCAAUUUAGUCUUUAGAUUAAAUGUGCUAUUUUCAUAUAGUUUAACGACUAGAUUAGAUAUUUAUUAAUAGUUCAUAAAUCACAUCAAAUAAAUUAAAAUUUUUAAAAAUGACAUGACAUAUUUUGCCAGAGUUUAAAGAUCACAUUAAACAAAUUUCAAAUUCAAAGACCGGCUGCUUUUGCAUACCCGCUCACCAUGGAAGUGGCUGACACUAUAUUUCUGGUAGGCAUUCUAUCAAAAACUGCUCUGGCCUCACUAAUUCUGGAGCACUUAGAGUACAUAUCAACCAAUGCAUUUCCUAAAACAACAUCUUUCCCAAAUUUGUCACAUUUUACAACACGGGCAUGAAUUUGCAUCCCUUCCUUAAGUGCUGACGAGCUAGCUCAGGUGCUGACCACACUGGCUAAAAUAACCUCAUCUAUUUCGAACCCACAAUCCAUCAUGCUCACAAAAACCUCAAGAGCCUCGCUGGCGGGACCAUUUUGUUCAUAACACGUAAUCAAGCUGUUCCAAGAAACUAUGUUUCGAGAACUCAUUUCAUCAAAAGCCCUCUGUGCACAAGCCACGUUCCCACACAGCCGAGCACUCAGACUUCGAUAUCAAAGCCUGAAUCCGUUGGGCCAGAUGCAUAUCUGCUAACCCGGCACAUGCGCUAAGCACACUACCAAAUGAGUACUCAUUAAGCACAUAAUUCUCCCUAUGCAUCUUACCAAAACAUUGCAGGGCUUCUUCGAACCUUUCAUGCUGCGCAUAACCUGAGAGCAUCGAAUUCCCGAGCACUGGUCGGGUUCCGGCAUUGACCCGAAUAUCUUUUCCACUUCAUCAAGAGACCCCGAUCUGAUCAACCCGCCUAAGAUCGCGUUCCACGUGAAGGUAUUCUUCUCGGGCAUUCUAUCGAACACCCUGCGGGCAUCGUCGAGGCACCCGCAUCUCGCGUAGACGUCGAUGAGCCGGUUCUGGAUAAAAACCUCGGCGGAGAACGGGGUCUUGAUGAUCCGAGCGUGGACGCGGCGUGUGUUGCGCGCUGACUUGGACAGGCCGCAGCCGUCCAGGAGCUUGGUGAACGGGGUCGAGGUGGCGAAGGAGAGGUCGCCCGCCAGAGCCUUGACCCGCGCAUGCCUCGCCAUUCCAUCAUAUCAUCGUACGAGGCGAAAUCUGUCGGAGUAGAUUUGCAAAUUGAAUGCGACUGGGGGGUUUCUGUUGACCGUUAUAUGCUUCCCCCCUUCAGCCAGGCGCGGGAAUAUGAUACGAGCGCUCGUAUGAAGUGGGGCAAAGUUGCGGUGGCAGAAUGGUAAUUUAGCAUAACAAUCUAAUCUAAGCUAUAAAUUGAAAUAUGACAUAUAUUUAAUAUCUUGUUGUAAGUCACUAAAUUAUGAUUAGUCAUACUUAAAAUCUAUACUUAUUGCUUUAUCAAUUAUAAUUAUAAGUUUAAGAUAAGUCAAUUUAAUUUUAUUAAGAGACUGCCGGAUUAUUCACAAAUAAAACAUACAUUCUUGUUUAGUAAUUAUGAUCAUUCUAAUUGUAACUCAUUCUCGCCAAAAAAAAAAAAUUUGUAACUCAUCAUUAUAAAAAUGCAAAAACCAAUACUAGAGACUGAAAAUUAGAUCUAUGCCGGAUUUGAUGGGAUAGCUUUUCAUUGGCCCCCUCCCUCGAGGAAUAGCUAACCUUGAUUUAUGAAAAUAGCUAUUUCUUUUAUGCAACUAAUCUUGAUUUACUUCUUGACCAACUAACGACUAAUUGUCUCCUCAUGAAAAGAUUGAAAAAUGAUGUAGCUAUUGUGAUAUUUCUAUGUUAACUCUCUUUUGAGGUAAUGUCCGUUUUAUCUCGUCCCAUUUCAAAUCUCAUAGUUUUGUAUUUUGGCAUAUAAGCAGACUUUUUCCCAUUUUAGUAGUGUUCUAACUUGACUAUGCUUAACUUUGGGUAAAACUACCAAGAUAGGUGACUGUACUUUCAAGAGGCCACCCAUCUUGAUCUAACUUGACCACACUUAACUUUGGAGUGGAACUAUCUAUUGAUCUCAUGGGGAAGUGCUUGCUUGCACGCCAGAUGAUAAAAUUGUGAGGCUUGAAAUGGGAUGGGUGCCAACAAAUAAUAUCACGAGUGAAUUAAUCCAGAAACAUCACAGUUAUUUGUCCUCGAACAAAACAUGCAGUUGGAUUUUCGAUUAAGACGUAUCUUCUUCUAGUAAGGUCUGUCCCUUUUGUUUUGUUUUGUUUAGUGUUUUUUGCUUCUUCUUUUUUUUUGUUAAAUAUAUAAUUUAGACAUUGUCCUGUUAUGGUAAGAAAAAUCAAUUGACCUUCUAAAAUGUGCACUCCUGUGAACCUUUGCAAAAGAAGCCCAUCCGAACGCACAUCCACUCCGUCAAGGCUUUGCAACUCUUUCGGCUUUAUGGGACCAAGAACCGUCACAUCUGAGAGUUGUCUCAAGCUUUGGAAAGGUCUAUUGAUGUUCUUAUUUCCUGGCAAAGUAGGAUAUGUAAAAUGGACAAAACUCCCAGGAAGCCUUGGCAAGAACCUGAGGUUCUUAAAAAUUGAGAACAAGUUUCCUGAGCUUGCAACUCUAAGGACUCCAGACGGCAUAACCUUUCAGUCCACCGAGGAUCAUGGAGCUUCCUUAAGUCCGUGACCGUCGUAAUAAUACCUCGACACAUAUAAACGCAAGCAUCUCGGAUUUAAUAGGCACAGGAGAUCUGGAAAUGUGUACAUUGAGAAAAUUACAAGCACAGGUUAAUUCCAAGCCCAUGGCACCAUAGAAUUUUUCCCAUGACAAGAUUAAUUACUAAUUGCACCCGCUAAAAAUUUUAGAAGUAGGGCCACAACAGACCCAAAAAAGAAGAAAGAAAGUGCAGAACCGAUCGAUUACAGUAAGCUUUCACGCCUUCCAGGACAAUAGUUCGGUUUUAGCUCGACCUUGACAAGCUCAGAAGAACAACUGAUUCCCCAUGUAUGUUUUGAACUAGUUCCUAAGGAGCGAAAAUCAAUCCCCUGAUUGGUGCAGAAGUGAACUGACGCACAGGAGUUGCGAUGUGUUUCAAUGCAUGUGACCUUGUUAAGGCAAGCUAUUAAAGAUUAGAUGCAGAUGGAACAAAAUCAAUCGAGUCAGCUGCCGAGUGAGUUCAUUGGAAGGCUGUUUUUAUUGUGUAUGAAUGGUAAGUCAUGACUGAAAAUAAUGAAAACAACUCAAUCCGUUCCGAAUCUUUUCCUAAUCGAUCACUGAUUGCAUCAAAGAUUCGCAAGCGGACCCAAUUCAUGCCAAUGUGAAGAGAGAAAAUUACCAGAAAACCAAAUAAAGAUGGGGAGAAGGAAAAAGCAAGACUUUUUUCUAGAGAACAUAUUCAACUCUCGUGGAACAAAUCAGCGGGCAGGAAGACAGGGGUCGCAGUCCCUGGAGGGAUAUCUCCGCCAGGUUGGAUCGCGUCUUGUGAUGCCACUCGGGGUUGCCGUUGCAUUCCUUGAUGGCCAGUGUCUGUUGCUGCUGGUUCUGGUCGAGCUUCUCUCUUGGGACAUCACUGAUGAGGAAGGAAGAUGAAGGGAGGAGAAGGUGAGAAGGUGUUGUUUUGGGGGGGUAGGAGCAACGGGAGAAAAAAGAAAGAGAGCUUCAAAAAAGGGGGGAGAGAGAGAGAGACCUUGACGGCUUCAAGGUAAAAGAGAGGAAUCCCUAACCCUUUUAAUUCUACUGUCUCCAUAUAACUGCAUGUCGAAUAGAUGAAAUUUCCAUCCGCGGAUCUAUCCUUGGAGGCAACUCCAGUGAUUCCUCGAGCACCUUGGUCAGGUGCAACUCCAGUGAUUCCUUAAGCACCUUGAUCAGGUUAGAAAACUUCUUUGGAGGCAACUCCAGUGAUUCCUUGAGCACCUUGGUCAGGUUAGACAACUUCGCUGGCAACAGUUCUAACAACUUUUGCGAAGAUUUGCAGCAAUCAAUAUGAAGCUUCUCCAAUGAUUUUGGCCUAUGUUGAACCUCAACCAGAUGAGGUAGCUUCGCACAGCCUUCUACGGUGACAUGUUUGAUAUUCUUGACGUUUGAUGGAAACUUUUCGAGUGAUUCACAGGACAUUAAAUAAAGCUUCUCCAACGAUUCUUGCUGAUCUCCUACCUCAAUCAGUUUAGGACAUAGUGAUAUAGUAAGUACCCCCAGCUUCUUCAAGUGGGUCAGGUCGGGCAACUUCACCAGUGAAGGAAGAUGGCAAAGAUAAAGCCAUUUCAUGUUUUCCAAAUUUUCAAGGCCUUGAAUCUCUGUUAGCUGUUCACAAUUACGUACUUCCAAUUCUGAUAACUUCUUCAAAUAUGAAAGAUCUCCAGACUUUUCCAUUGACUUGCACCCACAAAUACUUAAGUAUGACAAAUGCUGGGGAAACCUAUGUAGGCAUUCUAGUUUAUUUCCAACAAGUUCAAGCUUCUCGAGCUUCGAAAAGAGAUUAAGAUCUAAAGGUAUGGAGACCAGACUAUGCCAACUCAACAGCAAGGAAGUUAGCUUUCUUAAACCUCCGAUCCAGUUGAGGCUUGGAGUUGGAUGGAACGAGAAUUCAGACUUUAAAUCCAACUUCAAAACUCUCAAAUUUAAUAGGUUAGAGAGAUCUGGGUAUUCCUUAAAUGGACCAAUUGUAAGGUGUAGAUUGGUCAUACUUUCAGGAAGCUUAGGUACAUCAGAAAUUCUUGUGUUCAGUAACAUCAAGAUCCUCAGAAAUGAUAAUCUUCCGAUCUCCCUAGGAAUUUCCCCAAGGAAAUUUCUACAGUCACGAGCAUAGAUCUCUUCAAGCUUCUCCAACAUCCCAAGGGCACUAGGUAGCCUUUUUAAGGGGGUGUGUGACACCCUUAGUACUCUCAAAUACUUCAUUUUCUCUAUUGAACUGGGUAACUCUUGAAUUUUCGACUGAGAAAGAUUCAACUCAACAAGAGAUGCAAAAUUUCCAAACGGAAGCACAGUAAUAUUUGUACCUCCCAACCUUAGAUUCAAUAUUGAUGUUAAGCAACCAGAAAAAUUGCACAUGCUCAGUGAUUCACAUGAACUUGCACUGAGAGUUUCCAAUUUCUUCAUUCCUUUCCAUUCAGGAAUUUCGGUAAUGGAUGUCCCAUCAAUAAUAAGUUCCCUUAAGGCUUCCAGUUCCUCCAUCUUGUCCGGCAAUGUCUGAAGUUUCCUACAACCUCCCAAGUUUAAUGAUACUAAAUGAUUUAACUUAUUAAUAGAGCUAUCAACUUGAACCAGUUCCGUGCACCCUUGAAGAAUCAGUUGCUCUAAAUUUUCAUGAGCAGAAAGGUCAGGAGUUCUACGCAAGUAUCUGCAUCCAGUCAAAUUUAAAACCUUCAAAUCCUCUGCCAUCUGUAAUGAAGAGAAGAAGUUAAUUCUGCAUCAUUUUGAGAUACAUGACAACAAAGUCAAUAUAGCAAAUUCAUGUUCAGAGAAUACCAUACCUUGAGGUGGUUCCAUCCAUCCCACUCAUAUGUAAUUUCACUCCAUGAUACAUCAAGAAUCACUAACUUCCUAGGGGAACAUGCAAUGAACUUGAAAAAGAUAGGAAAGUUAUGCCAUGAGAGCCAUCUCAAUUGUGGAAGCAUGAUCGGAUUCCCCCCGAACCAGUUGGUAGAAUGAAAAUUCAAAAGCAUGAUCGGAUUCCUCAAUAACCAGUUGGCAGAAUGAAAAUGCCGAAUGUUGUUCUCAUCCAAGUCUACACCAUCCACUUGAAGAAAUCUUAAAUUUGGUAGGCUUAUGGAUUCUUCCUUCUCAAUGAAGUCUUGAAAUUGAUGAUCAGAUUUGAGACUUAUUGCUUCAACAUUUUCUCUUCCCUGCCAAAGCAAAAAAAUUAAACAGAAGCUAGUGAUCACAUAAUUGCCUGUUGAAGGCAUUCAAGUUGAGCAUACUUGAGGAAUGUACAUUUUAAAUUAAUAAAAUUAAUUUACAAUAUAAUUUACAGAUAAGCAUGUGGUCCCACUAAGCACACAAGUAAUGACUCGGUUUAGAUAAAAACAAAUAAGCAAAGUCAACGUGUAUAAUUCGUUUCUUUGAAAAGGAUUAACAUUGCAAACACUUUACCUCCUUUGUUUCAAGAACAUCAGUUGCUUUCUCUUGAUCCCACACUCGACUUUGCUUCUCUGGUUUAUAAUCACCAGUCUUACGAACGAAAUCUCGCCCAAGGUCUCUUACAAUAUCAUGCAUCCACAGUCUGUUAUGUUCUGUAAUCUUUAUUAACGACAUCUUUUGGAGGACACUAAGAUAAAAGUCAGGUUGAAACCCACAGCUUUCCCACAUGUGCCUCACAAUUCUCACAUCAAACCCAACGAAGAAGCAACAAACAUCAAGAAAUAUUUUCCCCGCUAAUGGUGGUAAUGCCUUAAUACUGAUGUUCAACUUUUCUUCAACUUUUUCAUCGGGAAUAGUUUCCAGCUUCUUUAAUGUGGUCUCCCAAGAUUUUCUGUCUUCCUCAGCUAAAAGAGAACCUAUGAUCUCAAGAACCAAAGGAAGACCACUGCAGAUUUUUACCGCUUUUUUCGAGAGGCCGACGUAUUCAGCCGGAGCAUGAUCACUUUUAAAGGCAUGUUUGCUAAAUAGUAUAAGGGAACGAUCAAAAUCCAUUUCAAUAACUUGGUGCUUCAUAUCAACAUGUUUGAGAACUUCCUCAUUUCUUGUGGUGAUAAUAACCUUACUUCCUCUGCAAAACCAGCAUUUACCCAUCCCCACAAGAGCAUCCAGCUCAGUCUUUUGGUCGACAUCAUCAAUUACGAGUAAGACCUUUUUAAAGGAUAAACUCUUCUUGACCUCAGUUAUCCCUUCUGCAAUGUCAUGGAUUGGCAGACAUUUCCCUUUUCGGAGAGUAGAGAUGAGCUGAUCCUGCGAACUCAGAAUUCCUUUAUGUCGAACACCAAACAGGAAGCAACAGUCAUCAAAAUUAGCUGACAAUUUAGUAUAGACAAUUCUAGCAAGAGUUGUCUUUCCGACACCACCCAUUCCAUGGAUACCAAUAAUCUUUGUUUCAGAGGUGUCUUCACCUAUCAUUUCCAUGAUCUCGUCCACUUGAUCAUCCAUUUCAACCAAGCAAUCAAGUGCUCCCAAGUAGCUCUUUUUCAACUCGAACAAAACCUUAUCAACAACUUCUUUCAUGAACUCGCCUUUGCCUCUGAUAGUUUCGAAGGCAAAAGAAUCAAACUGUUAAGUCGAGAUGAACAGAAUAAUAUCUACGGUACAAACAAAUCGUGCACAAUAAUAAAUUCAAGUACCUCUUAUUAAGUUCGCAUCCCUUUAAUUUUCCAACCUUGUUGAGAGCUGCCUUCCAGUUCAUAGUCUUAUCAGUGUUUUCAUUUAUGUGUGACUGAAUGGCGUGACCGUAGGUUCCAGUCUGCUUACGAACCAUCCGUGGUUCAACGUCAUAGAAAAUUGGUAUGAUCUUUUGUCCCCACUUUUCCUUGCACUCCACCAUCUGGGCCAAUUCCAUGAGGCACCAUUUACUGGCAGCAUAUCCUUUAGAAAAGAUAGGAAUCAAGAUUUUCAACUGCUUAAUCGCAUGGAGAAGCUCCGGGCCAAUCUCUUCCCCAACGUGAAGCUCUUCAUUAUCUCUAAAUGUUCGUAUUCUGGCAUCAGUGAGGCUGUGGUAAAGGUAAUCAGUGAUGUCGUUGCGAGUAUCUGAUCCUCUGAAGCUCAAGAAUACAUCAUAACAAGGUUCCUUUGGCUCCUCCAUUCCUGAAUUUUCAGAGGACUUUGCUAGGACUUGAUAUGCCACCUGAAAAAUGCUUAUUAUGAAAGUGGAGUGAUGAUGAUCAUGAUUUCUCUCAGAAUUUUUUUUUUCUUUUUUUUUUAAAGUCACUAUAGAAAGACACCUUGAUGACAAAUGCAUGAGCUCCAUCUGCGGCCUUCUAGACAACAAAAUAUAUUUCCUUCCUUUAUAAAAAAUUUAGUAGAGAAGUCAAACCAUCUCAAUUCUAAAGGAAGAAAUCUCCAAAUUAUUGCAGAAUUAUGGGUUUUAAUUCACACUCCAGAUUGAUUGAAAAAAAAAAAAACAUUUCGUGCAAAGAUAAAUCACUGCCAACCUAUAUUUGUCUUAAACUCUUUCUUUAGGUGAUAAAGUAUCCCCUGAAAGGUGAUGUCGAAUGUCCUCUGCACAUAAGCGCCUAAUGUUGCUUGUUGGUUGACUAAUUAUCUUAUUAUCUGAUAAGAAAUUAUGAUCAAACCUUCCUAAUUUCGUUUAACAAAAAUAGAUUUGACAAACAACACUCAUUUAGUUGCUUCCUCAACCUUAACAGUUGCUGGUGAAGAAUUCAUUCCCCUAUGAUGAUCUCACUAGAAUAAUGAAAUCAAGAAAUUACACUAAAGCAAAUGCAACUCUCACCAUAUUGGACUAGUUUCUUAAGAUCAUAAACUGAUCCCUAAUUACAGCCAUCUCAUAGGUUAUCAAAGAACAGAUACACGGUCAUGGGUGAGCAUCAGUUAGGGUUGAAGAUAUUUUCCACACUUGCAAGUACCAGCAUAUUAAAAAAAUGGGAUUUACUCACUAAUCAACUAUGGGGUUAAUAAGAUUUCAACAGAAAAAAUAAAAGCAUGAAUGCUAUAUUACUGUUUUUUUAAAAUAAGUUGGAAAACACAGGAGUGUAGGGAUGAGAGCCGCAUUUUAUGAAAGCAGAGAGUUCUGGUUCACCACAGAGUGCAACAGUAUAGUGUAUUCAGUCCGUCUCUACUGUUAAAUACAGAGUUGAGGGUAUCAAUUUUCUGCCUAGAAGCGUUCUUACUGCUAAUCACUAGACAAUAAUGUACGAAUUUGUCAUAUCAAAGUCUCUUAAAGAUACCACCAUCACUAUUCGCACAAAAAAAAAAAAUCCCAUCAAAAAAUGAAAUCAACAGAUCCACUCUAACAAAUUUAGCUUUUAGCGCCAGCAAUCCACGCGAAAACUCAGAGAGAGAGAGAGAGAGAGAGAGAGAGAGAGAGAGAGUACGUGGGUGACGAGCUCGUAAGACUGAGCGUUGUCGAUGAUGGAACCGGACUUGCCUCUGCCUUCGCUGCCACCGCCGCCCUUCCUCCUCUUCUUCUUCUCGCCGCUCCUCUUCUUCAGCUUGUAGUCGCGAGGGCCGCCGCCGCCGCCGCCGCCGCCGCCUUUGAGGAGCUCACUCCGAGGCUCGACACUGCUCGCGUCCGCUUCAGCUUCAUGCCGUCUCUUCUUCUUCGCCACUCCCGCUCUCCGAUAUCAGAAAGUUUCGACUUUUCGACAUGGUACGAGGUCGACUGGUCAAGGGUUUAGGCGUCGAUCUUGGUGGUGGUAUUGCGUUUCGGGAUCUGAGGCCCGACACUUGCACAGAUGGAAGCAGAUGAGCAAGGUUUUAGCACCGGACUAGAGUCAGAGGCUAAAGCUAUUAGUGUUAGACGCAACUGACUGUGAUCAGUCAUGAAGUCAACUGAGAAAGAAUUGAUACUGAUCUGAGAGCCCUCUCUUGUUUCCAUCAAAUUCUGCAUCUAGUUGCCUUACAGAACAGACCCAAUUCAUUAUGAAGAAGGCAAUCAACGAGAGGAAAUUACCGGAGAUGGAGGGGGUGAAGAUGAAAGGUCCGGAUCAAAUGCUGAGAAGCAGAUAAAAGAUCCCAAAAAUAAACGCUCUUGGCUUUCGAGUUCAGCUGAAGAGAGGCAAGACAUACAUAAGAAGGUGAAUUCACCCUUCUUCGCCGUGCCCUUCCAGAAAAGUGAGGGCUUGCUAGUUGCAGGGAAAUUUCAAGCAGACCGUGAAAGAGUCAAUACGCGUUGCUGUUGACUUUCCAGGUAAACGAGUCGAGUUACUGGAAAAUUUCUCGUAGUCCGAAAACUUUUUGGCACGAAAAGCAAGAGCAUAAGAGGAUUUUCAUUGCACGUUAUUAGUUUAGAAAUCAUAUAAUUUAUAUUAAUCGAUAUUCUUUCGAUGACGAUCCUCGUCAUUGAAUUCAUGUAUCAAAUCAAAAAAUGUUGAAUUCAUGUAUGUCAGAGUUAUACACAAUGAGUUUGUAAGAUAAAAAAGUUAGAAAAAAUAAUACCAUAAAUAUUAUAACUUUCGUACAAUAUUCACUUUAGUGUUAUAAGUUUUUUGAAAUUAGUUAAGCAAUAUAAUUUUUGUUUGACACUCACUUAAAUGCCAUAAUCUUUUAUCUUUUGAUCACUUGUGCCAUGACUUCUUAAAAUUGUUCAUUCAAGAAUGAGUGUUCCCCCAAGGACCACUGGUCUACCACUGUUCUUCUUGGUACUCCAUGUUCGGCGCUUCCUCUUUUCUCCAAAUUUGUACUUUUUCUUUUUGAAUUGUUCUUAAAAUCUGCUGAAAUGGCAGCUCUAUCAAUGCCUCCAUUUUCAAGGAAAAAAAAAAUCGUGUCUGUCUUUUCUAUUAGUUAAAUUUGAUGGAGUUAAUAGCGAGAUAUGAUCGCAUCAAUUUAAUGAUUUUUAAAAUUUGAUUGUACUUUUUAAAAGUUUUAAAAUUUGAAAGCAUUUUUGCAACAUAUUUUAAGAUUUAUGGAGCAUUUAUCCUCUCUUAUGGGACAAUAACAUAAAUGGUCCUUAAACUUUAGCUCAAUAUAUAAUGUUAUUCUUAUAUAUUUUAAUUUGUUCAAUGUGAUAUCUAAAAUAUUGAUACAUGUUCAAUUUAGUCUUUAGAUUAAAUGCGUUAUUUCCAUAUAGUUUAAUGACUAGAUUGGAUAUCUAUUAAUAAUUUAUGGAUCAUAUUAAAUAAAUUAAAAAAUUUUAAAAUGACAUAACAUAUUUUAUUAGAAUUCAAUGAUCACAUUAAAUAAAUUCUAAACUUAGAGACAACAUUAGAUAUUGGACAAGAUAUAUGGAUUAUUUAUGUCAUUUUUUUCAUUUUUUUUAAAUCUAAAACUCCAGAGACUUAAGGAUAGACAAAUAAAUUCACAUAUAUUUUUUUGAUAAUUUUCUGAAAUCUGAACAAUAAUUUAAAUUUUAACAAAAAGGUAAAAAAACUACUAUUAACUUCUUUAAGUCCUAGCAAAGAGGCACUAAAUCAAUUAACUUUCGCCAUUUCUUUACGAUGUCCCUUCGCGUGGGCACCAUUUCAUGGGAGAGACGACUGGUGCAUUGACGCUCAGGAAAGUGACGAAUUGCUAGUAGUUGAAGGGAAACUUCAAGCCGACCUUGAAAAAGGGAGUCCGCGUUUUGCUUUUGACUUUUGGGGUAAUUGAGUUGAGUUCCCGGGAAAUUUCUCCAAGUCCAAAGACUCUUUGGCACGAAAGGCGGAGUACAAGAGAUUUUCAUGCGUGUUAUUAGAUUAGAAAUCAUUCCAUUUAGGCUAAUUGAUAUUCUUUUAAUGACAAUAAAACCAUUCUUUUGUAGGUGAAACCCAGGCCCAUUCAAAUUUUACAUAUACUAAACCCAGAAAUGUAGAAUUCAUAUAUUUUAAUUAAUUAAGACGAAUAAUAUGAUUAAAAUAAAAUAAGAAAAAUAGAUUAAUAUGUUGAUGCUAUUUAAUCAAGUAAAAACUAUACCAUUAUAAUAUUCUUAAUUUUGAAACAACGACAAGUAAAUUAAUUUAAAUUUCUAGUAUCGAGAUAUAAUGCUAUCAAAUAUCUAUAUUAUGAAGAAAAUGCGGUCAUAUUGCAAAUACUAUGUUAAAAAUUGGUAUCUUUUUUUCAUUACAUUCUCAAAGUUUCUUUUUUUUUUUUAAUACAAUCAAUAAAUGAGUCUUUGUUUCAUUUUGCUACCUACAUUUUUGUUAGCUUUCUUGGGAAUCCACCGAUUGAAAGUAGUGUGAGUCCUCGCUCAAUUUGAUUUUGUUAAUGCUUUGGUUCAUUUACGCAUUUAAUCUUUUUUUAUCAUACAAAAUACAAUGCAAUGGAGGGAUAUGCACAAUAUUUUUAUGCAUCAAAAUUUCAUUAAUCAUCAUCCAACUAUGUUUAUGUUUAUGUGAGCAUUUGGUAAUUGAUAUAGUAAUAGGUGUUACACUGUUUUUCUUUCACAGAAAGCAAAGGUAAUUAAUAAAAAUUAAAUUAAAUUAAACUAUAUCAAUUUGGAUUGACUUUUAAAUUUUUAUUUUUAUUUUUGCUCCAUUUAAUUUACACUGCCCACGCACUUUAACUCUAUUUCAAAGUCCCAAAACUUUCCAAAUAGUUAUAUGUUAACACGUAAAUUUGUAUUAAUUUUUUCAUAAUUUUUUGAAAUCUAAAUAAUAUUUCAACUUUUAAUAGAAAAAUAAAAUAAUUCCAAACAAAGUGGCAUUAAAGCCAUUAAUUUCUCCAUUUCAUCUCAAUAAAAUUUCAACUUUUAAUAGAAAAAUAAAAUUUAUUUUAUUUAAUUCCAAACAAAGUGGCAUUAAAGCCAUUAAUUUCUCCAUUUCUUAGGCAUGAGGCUAUUGUUCACAUCUGCCAGAAAGUAUCAUCAUAUCAGAAGAAGAGGAGCGGAUUACUAAUUACUUAUGGAGUUAAUAAAAUUUCAACAGAAAAAAAGAAGCAUGGACGCAAUAACUGUUUUUCCAGUAAAUAAGUUUGAACACAUGGCCUGUAGGGAUGAAAGCUGCAUUUCACAAAAGCUGAGAGUUCCGGUUUGCCACAGAGUGCAACAUUAUAUACUCUUUAGUUUGUCGCUUCUGUCAAAUACAGAGUUGAAGGUAUCAAUUUUCCGUCUAGGAGCGUUCUUUCUUACUGCUUAUUUACCAGACAAUAAUGCACUAAUUUGUCUCCACUGUUAAACAACUGAAAUCAACCGAUCCUAAUUCUAACUAAUUCAGCUUUGGGUGCUGGCCGGUUCCUAAAGAGUGUAAAUUCAGUCCUGAAUUACAUAAACCUCUGAGUAUAUCAACAAGCUGAUGUAUAGGAGUGGGAUUGUGUUUCAAGAUCUGAGGCCUAACUAUUGCAUAGAUGGAAGCAGAUGAACAGGGUUUACACGUGACUAGCGUUAUGCUAAAACUGUUGGUGUUAGAUACAAAUUGUAGCGAUCGAUCAUGGAGUCAACCAUGGAAAGAAUUGAUACUGAUAGGAGAGUCCCUCUAUCGUUUUCAUCAAAUUAAUGGAAAAAAGGCAAUGAAUGAGAGGAGAUUACCAAAGAUGGAGGAGUGAAGAUGAAGAGUCCGGAUCAAAUGGGAAGAAGCAGACAAAGAUCCCCCAAAUCAAUCGUUCUUGGGUUUGCGCUCCGUUGAAGAAAGACUUUUCACAAGAUGGCCCGCUGGCCCUUGCACGCAAUGCUCUUUCAGGUAGGUGAGGACUUGCAAGUUGCAGGUUUACUUAAAGCCUGUCGUUGACUUUUGAUGUAAUAGAGAUGAAGGCCGGCCGUUGACUUGCCAAUGAUUUGCCGGCGCAAACCACCAGAGUUCUAAUAGACGAGAAUUUAAUGCAUGUUAUUAGUUUGGAAAUCAUAUAAUUAUAUUGAUUGAUAUUCUUUUAAUGACGAUGAAACCGUUCUUUUGUUGUAGGUGACACCCUAGGCCCAUUUAAAUUCAACAUAAAUUGAAUCUACAAAUGUAGAAUCCAUACUUUUAAGUCUUUGAGAUGGAUUAUAUUAUUCAUAGUAAACUUAUAAAGACUAGAGUUAGGUUUUUAUGCUCUGUUUGUUUCAAGAAAAAAUAAAUAAUUUGGAAACAAUUUCUUAAAAAUGAUUACUUGUAUCACGUAAAAUAAUUAGCUAAUAAAAAAUAUUUUUAUUGUGGACAACAAUUUAUGUCUAAAUAAUUUCAUGGAUAAUAAAAAUAACUUUUGUUUAUUCAUUUUUGUAAGUGAUAUAAAUAAUUAUUUUAGCAAAAUCCUUUUCAAAUUAUCUACUUUCUGCAAAACAUGCAUACCUUUGAACUCUAAAAGUUAUAUCAUCUAGAAAUUGAUAAAGCUCCGAAAAGGUUACAAUAUAAGUGGAAGGUAAUCGACAAUCAUUUUUUAAUCGGCUAUAGAAUCUCAUUACGUUCAUUAAAAAAGAGAGUAUAUCUUGGAUCUCCCUUGGGAGCAGAGAAAUACAACGACUUCCAAAAGAGGUACUGAAAAUCCUAAUUCUAAUCUAAGUAUAAAUUGGAAAAUUACGUGAAAAACAUAAACCUUAGUCAAUAACCCUUUUGGGAAGAUGUGCAUAGCACAUCAUGCACGGCACAUGUAAGACACAUGAAAAUUGCAACGAUUGCCGAGGAAAAAUGUGUCUGAGUUGCAUAGGGUUUAAGGCUCAAAUGGGCUAAAUUUAAUAAUUCAACGAUUUAAAGAGUUCAAUUUGAAUGAAAUUCAUAAAAUCGCCUCAGUUUAAAAUUUAAUACAUUGAAAUUAUUGUGGAUCAAAUGCUAAGAAGCAGAUAAAGAUGCCAGAACCGAAGGAAGAGUUUUAUUAAAGAGUCUACUCACCUUCACGUGCCAUGCACCUGCAGGAAGGUAAGGACUUGCUACUCAUCCCAUCCGCAUUACAAUUUUACAUACGUUAAACCUAAAAUAUAGAACUCAUACAUAUUAUGUAUUUGAGAUGGAUCAUGUUAGACUUAUUCCCAAUAAAUUCAUAGACAAGAAUUAGGUUUUAAUUUCAAAAGCUGCAUUUGUACACAAAGGAAUAAAGCACCAAAAAAUUUACGAUGAGUCUUCAAAAAUAGCUACAGUUGAAAUAUUCCAGAUGAUAUAUUUAUGGUUUUGUCCCAAUUUAUUUCUCAUAUGCAGGUAACGGAAACGCUUUCAAAAUAGACAUCUCUCCAACCUAUUCAGAAGCCAUUUGAGUUUCUAAUAAAUCAACGUUUCCCUCAGCAUGGAGAGCAGAGAAAGCGUAAGUUCUAGACACAAGGUUUGCAGUACACAUGACCUCUAUGAUCUCUGGCCAAAGCGGCAUUGGAGGCAUGAGAAUCUUGCAUCGAUGUUCACUUGAAGUAAGAGGGGAGGAGUCCAUUUUGGAGGGUCGUUGUUCACAACUGGUGACUACGAGCAACGUUCCAUCACAACUCAGGGUAGAUGUCCUGUAUAUGUCGAAUUACUGAAGGAAAAUCCAUUUGGGAACGAGCUUCCAGAAUUUUGUUUCGACGCUCCGAUAAACCCACUAAACUAUCUCGACCAUAUUGCGAAAAUCUUCGCAAUAAAUGUCUGGUGGAAGGCCGAAAGCGAGGAGGCGCAGAGAUCACAUGGCACACGUGUAAAAAACAGAACCGCAAAAGAAGUUGAUAUGUCCAAGCCCCAGCCAACUCGACUCCAUACAAUUCAGGUCAUCCACUCUCUUUCCCUUUUGUCAGGGCGAAUUUGACUGAUCAAUAUUUUUCGAAGUAAAAGAGCAGUUUUGUUCUAACUAGAUCUUCGGGAGAGAUAUGACCUUUACCUAUGUAUGGAAUAAAUACGACAUCUUGCCCAUGGAAUGUUGACAAGACAUCGAAUGCAUUUUGUGCAGAUCUCAACAACCGAGAGCAGAUUCUUAUGAAGACUCUACUUGUGAUUAACUUGGAGGUAAAGGACAACCAUGAGGAGGCAGCAACUGGAGCUCAGCUUGCUUUAAAUCUUUGUCGAGAGGUCUUUGACUGGCUGUGCUUUAUGUAUUAAUGAUAGUAAGCUUAAUUUCUGUAUGCUGAGAAAUUGCUUAUUGUAAUUCCUGGUCCCCAGAUAGAAGCAGCCGAGGAGGAAUCCAUUGAUGAAAUUGUUUCUAAUUUCAGAACCAGAACAGGCGGAAAUUUUUAUUCAGCAUUUCCUUCUAUUGAUGACCGUGGUGAGGGCAAGACUCUUGCUCUGAAAGCUUUAUGAUCCAUGUCGUUGUUCUGUUAGUAUUUUGUCUGCAAAUUUAUAUGUCGAUGUUCUGUUAGUAUUUUUAUUCUGUCUGUCCAUCUACUUGCACAAUUGGUAAUAUACUUAAAUACAUUACCAGAUUUCUUCCAACGCUGUUACUGUUUGCUUUGCACGAAGCCUUCCCUAGAAAUCUUACCUUUCUAAGCCCAACGAGCCCUAUUUAAUCCAUUACACAGCUAAUCAUUUCUUUAUACCCUAUCCUGAAUUUGAUCUCUUCUUAUGUCAGGAAGAAUGAAUCAGGCUCUCCCAUGUUUUUACGCCUUUGCUUGAUCUUGGUAUUCCAUGCGAAUUGUUGGGUUUGAUGAGCACUUUCCUUGACUACUCGUUAGUGGUAGGUGAUUUUGCAACAAUAUCUCUAUCUGCAUAAUGAGAAUUGUCAUUCUCACGCUUUGAAUUUAAUUUGCUAGAGAAGCCUAUUCUUUGCUGUUAUUGCCAAGCCUGUCAUACUAAUGCGCUGCAUCUAUCCACUUUCAGAUAACACUGCAUCGAUGUGGAAAAGAAAUUCUGAGUCGAACCCUUUUACACUCACUUUAUCUCUGGAAUGUCGACGCAUGAUGAUGUAUUAGUAAUUGGAAGCAAGCCAGUCUUGCUUAGGAGUGAAAAUUCUAUUAUUUCUUGUAGUUUCAUUCUUUUUCUUUUUCUUUUUUCAUUUUAAGUUUCUUUGUACUGCAGAACUAAUUCUGCGAUGGUACUCAUGUCGAGAGAGCAGGCAGAAAAGAGAUUCUGGCGUAUUGCAUAUAAUUUCUUUGAAUGCGAUGGGUUGAAAACCGCCUCUAUUUUCAUUUUACUGUAUCGUGCAUAUGAAAAGAAAAAACAGGAGAAACGAACCAACCUGACCUGGUCAGUCAUUUGAUGAUCUGGUUCUGUAUUUUUGGCAGGGUUCACAAUUCAAUCGAUCCUAGUUAUUUGAGAUGAGUUGGUUUGUGAAAAGAAAAUUACGUAAAAAGCAGAAAGUUCUAAUUUGAGUUCAUUUAGAGAUCGUCAGUUUUCUUGCUGGCUUGUUGGUCAUUCCUAGGAUCUUGUCCUUCAACUUGCUUUCCUCACUGUUUGAAUCAAAAUUCCCUUGCGUAUUCAUUUAAAACAACAGGCUCUGAUAAUUUGUGGAAAUUACCUACUACUGACACACAAAAGUCAUCUCCAUGUUUGACUUGCACCAAGAUUAGCAGCUUCACAUCUCCAACGGCAGAAUGCUUGCUUGACCUCGGCACAAGUGUCUUUUUGGAAUCUCUCAAAUACCAGUCUCUUGAGCAGGUGAAUUCUUCUCCUAUUCUACUGUUCCGUCGAGCCGGUGAAUUUUCUUCUACUCUGCUGUUCCUCCGGGAGGACGUUGCGGUCUAUUGAUCUAUCUGUGGAAAUAAAAUGUCUCCUCUCUCUGAACCGUCAAUCUCCUGUGGGUUAAUUUGUAUAACACCAACCACACCAAUUAGCUGUGGUACGCUCUACCCUCAUGCAGAUCUGCUUCUUAUGGCCAAAUAGACUUGUGUUUGCAUCGUGUCAGCUACAACCCAAAAGUGCCAGUGAAACUCGGCCAAACAACAGUGCACAUUAGACAGAGAAAAGAGAGCUCUUCUGCUCACGCAUUUUAUCAAAUGUUACUAUGGUAUGAAUGAUGAAGAGAAAUUGAAGGAUGAUGACUCUCCAUGAACUAACAAACAGCGGCAUCAACCGGCAUUUCCAUUUCAUAAGACAUCAAGUUCGAUUCACUCAGCUCCUCAUGGGCAUUGUAGUCAUCCGUACUGGCAACAUACCCAUCUCGCUUCAUCUGUCCUAAGAGAGACUUUAACAAAGAAUAAAUAUCACCCUUCUGAGGGUGCCUCUUGUCCUUGACAAUGAAGACAUGAACUUGACCCUGAAUUUCUAUCCAGCUACAACCAGGCUGCUUGACUACUCCCCGUUGCCUCAUCAGCUUCCUCAUUCUGACAACUUUGCCCCAUUUUUUACGUUCUGCGUACAUGUUUGAAAGCAGAACAUAAGGUCUGGAGUUUGAAGGGUCGAUCUCUAAGAGCUUCUCCACUACAUACUUUCCUAGUGUUAUAUCCUUAUGAACUUUGCAGGCUGCAAGCAGUGAACCCCAAACGACAGCAUCGGAUUGCAUGGACAUUGUCUCUAUUAAGUCCUUAGCUUCACUGAGACCACCAGCUCGGCCGAGCAAAUCAACCAUGCACGUAUAAUGGUCCUUUACCGGUGCCAGAUCAUACUCCUUGACUGUCUACUUGAAAUAAUGGUGCCCCUCUUCGACCAGCCCUGCAUGGCUGCAUGCACAUAGAACCCCGAUCAUGGGGACAUGGUCUGGUCUCUCGCCAGAUACCAACAUUUUCCUGAAUAUUUCAAGCGCCUCUAUUCCAUAACCGUUCUGCACAUAUCCAACAAUUAUGGCAUUCCAUGACAUCUUGUCCCUCUCCAACAUAUUCUUAAACACCCAUAAACCAUCUUCCACAGCUCCACAUUUAACGUACAUGUCUAUAAGAGAAUUUCCAACAAAAAUAUCUGCUUCUUCUCCAGAGUGGAAGCGCAAUCCAUGCUUCAAGACAUGAGCAUGAGCCUGCUGGCCCAACUGCAAAUCAGCUAGAUUUGCACACGCAUUAAGCAAAUUUCCAAAUGUGUAGUGCGUCGGCUCAAUGGCUUCCCUCUCUGGGUAUACCCUGCAAUGAGGGCAUUCCAAAAAAUUACAUUCUUCUCCAUCAUCCCCGUGAACAUUGCUCUUGCAGUUUUGAGACUGGCUGCUUUUGCAUACCCGCUCACCAUGGAAGUGGCUGACACUAUAUUUCUGGUAGGCAUUCUAUCAAAAACUGCUCUGGCCUCACUAAUUCUGGAGCACUUAGAGUACAUAUCAACCAAUGCAUUUCCUAAAACAUCAUUCCUAAAUUUGUCACAUUUUACAACACGGGCAUGAAUUUGCAUCCCUUCCUUAAGUGCCGACAAGCUAGCGCAGGCACUGACCACACUGGCUAAAGUAACCUCAUCUAUUUCAAACCCACACUCGCUGGACCAUUUUGUUCAUAACACGUAAUCAAGCUGUUCCAAGAAACUAUGUUUCGAGAACUCAUUUCAUCAAAAGCCCUCUGUGCAUAAGCCACGUUCCCACACUUGGAGUACAUGUCGAUAAGAGCAGAGCCCAUAUGAACAUCAGACGGGCACUCGGACUUCGAUAUCAAAGCCUGAAUCUGUUGGCCCAGAUGCACAUCUGCUAACCCGGCACAUGCGCUAAGCGCACUACCAAAUGAGUACUCAUUCAGCACAUAAUUCUCCCUAUGCAUCUUACCAAAACAUUGCAGGGCUUCUUCGAACCUUUAAUGCUGCGCAUAACCUGAGAGCAUCGAAUUCCACGAGCACUGGUCGGGUUCCGGCAUUGACCCGAAUAUCUUUUCUGCUUCAUCAAGAGACCCCGAUCUGAUCAACCUGCCUAAGAUCGCGUUCCACGUGAAGGUAUUCUUCUCGGGCAUUCUAUUGAACACCCUGCAGUUGUCAUCGAGGCACCCGCAUCUCGCGUAAACGUCGAUGAGCCGGUUCUGGAUAAAAACCUCGGCGGAGAACGGGGUCUUGAUGAUCCGAGCGUGGACGCGGCGUGUGUGGCGCGCUGACUUGGACAGGCCGCAGCCGUCCAGGAGCUUGGCGAACGGGGUCGAGGUGGCGAAGGAGAGGUCGCCCGCCAGAGCCUUGACCCGCGCAUGCCUUGCCAUUCCAUCAUAUCAUCGUACGAAGCGAACUCUGUCGGAGAAGAUUCGCAUAGAUGCAAAUUGAAUGCGAUGGGGAGUUUCUGUUGACCGUUAUACGCUUCCCCCCUUCAGCCCGACGCGCGGGAAUAUGUUGAGAGCGCUCAUAUGAAGAGGGAAGGCAAAGUUGCAGUGGCAAAAUGGUAAUUUCGGCAUGACAAUAUAUUAAUUAGACUCAUAACCAUGAAUUAUAUUUUUUAUUAUGAGUAAAUCUAAGCUACAAAUUAAAAUGUGUCAUAGAUUUAAUAUCUUGUUGUAAGUCACUAAAUAAAGAUUAGUCAUAUUUAUAAUCUAUACAACUUAUUGCUUUAUCAACUAUAAUUAUAAGUUUGAUAUAGGACAAGUCAAUUUUAUAACCGAGUUAUUUAUACAUCAAACAUGAAUUCUUGUCUAGUAAUUUUGAUUAUUUUAAUUGUAACUCAUCAUCAAAAAAAUGCAAAAAGCAAUUCGAGAGAAUGAAAAUUGGAUCUAUGCCGGAUCCCCCCUCCCACGAGGAAUAGCUAACCUUGAUUUUAAGAGAAUAGCAACUUCUCUGAAGUAACUAAUCUUGAUUUACUUCUUAGCCAACUAAGGACUAAGUGUCUCAUCAUGAUUAGACUGGACAUAAGGUAGUUAUUGUGACAUUCUUGGAUUAAUCUGAGGUACUAUUCAUUUUGGUCCGUCCCAUUUCGAGUCUCAUGGUUAUGUUCUUCAAGCAUGUGGGCAAGCACUUUUUCAAUAGAUUAUUGUGAUAUUUUUGGAUUAAUUCACUUGAAAUAUUAUCCACUUUUACCCAUCUCAUUCCGAAUCUCAUGAUUUUGUCUUUGGGCCAUACGAGCAUACACUUUCUAAGAAGGUAACCCAUGUUAACAAUAUUUUAGUCUAAGCACGCUCAACUUUGGAGUGGAAAUUACCAAAUAGGUGAAGUGCCUACCCGUAAGCUAAAGGAAAAAACCGUUAGGCUUAGAAUGAGACAAGUUAAAGUAGAUAAAAUCUCAAGAGAGUUAAUGUAGAAACUAUCACAUCAUUCUUCCUCGAAUAAAACGCACGGUUGGAUUUUCCAUUAAGAUGCAUGUUGUUCAAGUAAGGUCUAUCCCUUUUGUUUUGUUUUGUUUUGUUUUGUUUUGCUUUGCUCUACUCUUUUUUUUCUUUUUUUUCAAAUGAAUAAUUUGGACAUCGUCAUGUUUUGGUAAGAAAAAUCAAUUAACCUUCUAAAGUGUGCGUUCAUGUGAGCCCUUGCGAGGGAGAGCUUCAUGAUAAGAAAUGAAGCCCAUCUGAACUCACAUCCUACUCUUCAAGGCUUUGCAACUCUUUCGGCUUUAUGCGACCAAGAACCGUCACAUCUGAGAGUCAUCUCAGGCUUUAGAAAGGUCUAUUGAUGUUCUUAUUUCCUGGCGAAGUAGGAUAUGUAAGACGGACAAAACUCCUGGGAAGCCUAGGCAAGAACCCGAGGUUCUUAAAAAUCGAGAACAAGUUUCCUGAGCUUGCAACUCCAAGGACUCCAGAUGGCGUAACUUGUCAAUCCACCGAGGAUCAUGGAGCUUCCUUAAGGCCACACCUAUCGUAAGAAUACCUCGACACAUAUAAAUGCAAGCUUCUUGGAUUAAAUUGGUACGGGAGAUCUGGAAAUGCGUACAUUGAGAAAAUUACAAGCACAGAUUAAUUCCAAGCCCAUGGCACUGUAGAUUCUUGCCCCCAAAGAUUCAUACGUCUCUACUUCUACGACAAGAACUUAAAUCCCAACUGAUAAUUUCAAUUAUUGAAACUUGAAACGCAGUCAUUAAUCAUUCAAAAGCUCUGUAGAAAUCUGUCUUAAGUUAUGAAAACUAAAGGACCUUUAUGACCAUUGCAAAUGAUCAUUAACUAGGGAGGGUUAUGUUCAUGCUAGACAAGAUGUGUUGCCCCUACUUCUUCAUUUCCUCAGUGUGGAAUUUUUCAUCGGAAGUCUGUGACAAUUCUGUGAAUAUGGUUGCUGAUGUCUAAUUGAAUUCGAGACACUGAAUGCAACACAUUGAACAUAAUCUCAGUGAAUGAAUUCUGGACCAAGUCAUCUCGAAUCCUCGAUAAAUUUCUCCCAUGACGAGAUUAAUUACUAAUUGCACCCGCUAAAAUUUUUAGAAGUAAGCAGGACCACAACAGACCAAAAAAAGAAGAAAAAAAUUGCAGAACCAAUUGAUUAUAGUAAGUUUUCAUGCUUCCGAGGACAAUAUUUUGAUUUUAGCUAGAACUUGAUAAGCUCGGAAGAAGAAUUGAGUCCCAAUCGACUAUCUUGCAUAAGAUAAAUAAAAUCAGAUAAAUCCACCCCCCCAGGAGCGAAAAUCGAUCCCUCAAUUGGUGCAGAAGUGAACUGACGCACGGGAGUUGCAACGUGUUUCAAUAGAAUGUGAUUUGGUUAAGGCUACAGCUAUUAAAGAUUAGAUGCAGUAGUUACGGAAGAAAAUCAAUCGAGUCAGCUCCCCAGUGAAUUCAUCAAAAGCUGUUUUCAUUGCGUAUGAAUGACAAGUCAUGACUGAAAAUAAUAAAAACCAACUCAAUCCCUUCCAAAUCUUUUCCUAAUCCGUCACUGAUUGCAUCAAAGAUUCGCACGCGGACCCAAUCCAUGCAAAUGAGAAGAGAAAAUUACCAGAAAAUGAAGACGAGUGAAGAUGAAGAAAACCAAAUGAAGAUGCAGAGCAGGAAGAACCCUCGUUGGCCUGAGUCAGCUGCAACCAAAAUGGAAAAGGAAGACCACAAUCUGUUAACCCCUCGCGGAACAGAUCGGCGGUUACGAAGACGUGGUCGCAGUCCCCGUAGGGAGAUCUCCGCCAGGCCGUAUCGCGUCUCGUGCUUCCGCUCAGGGUCGCCGUCGCUGCUGGCUCUGGGCGAGCUUAUCGCUCGGGUUGUCGCUGAUGACGGAGCAGAAAGAAUGUGAGAAGANNNNNNNNNNNNNNNNNNNNNNNNNNNNNNNNNNNNNNNNNNNNNNNNNNNNNNNNNNNNNNNNNNNNNNNNNNNNNNNNNNNNNNNNNNNNNNNNNNNNGGGGGGGGGGGAGAGAGAGAGAGAGCAACGGGAGAAAAAACGAAACAAAAAAACAGAGAGAGUUGAAAUUUCACAAGAGUGGGUCCCACCUACACCUAUACGCACCAUUUCGAGAAAAUAUUCCUCAUACUCUAGUAGGUAAUCUCUUCCCCGUGAUUUCCUGUCCGGUGGUAUUCUUAUCUUAAAAAAAGCGAAGGGUCCUCUCACUUUUUUCAAAUCUCCAUACUCAUCAGAUUCCAGAAUCUCCUCCAAUCUCUCACAUUCUUUUAUCGCCAAUUUCUCUAGCUUCUUGAAGCUUGAAGGCUCCGAAAACUUUCGCAGGGACCUGCAGCCUUCAAUAGAAAGCCUCUUCAGUGAUUCUAGCCUACCUCGAAUCUCAAUCAAACGAGGACAACAACCUAAAACAAGAUCAACAAGCUCCUUGGCAUUGGUCAGGUCAGGAAACCUCUCUAGCAACGGAAGAUUCCUCACACAUAAGUAACUCAAGUUUUCCGAAUCUUCCAGGCCUUGAAUCUCAUUGAGCUUCAAACAAUGACUUAUCACUAAUACUUCUAUAUGCUUGAAGGUUAAUGGAUCAGGCAGCUUUUCGAGUGAUUCACAGUGCCAUAAAUUGAGAAGCUUCAAUGAAUCUGGCCCACAUUGAACCUCAACUAGUUUAGGACACUUCCUUAUAUAAAGUCCCCAUAACUUCUUCAAGCUGGUCAGGUUGAGCAACUUCACCAGCGAUGGAAGACCAACAAGACGAAGGCAUGCCAAGUUUUUCAAAUGUUGGAGGCCUUGAAUCUCCAUUAGUUGUCUACAGCAAUGGAAUUCCAAUGUUGAUAACUUCUCCAAAUACGAAAGAUUUAUCGACUUUUCCAUUAACCCACGCCCAUGAAUACUGAAGUAUGACAAAUUUUGGGGAAGCUUAGGUAAGUAUUCUAGGUUAUCUACAAUGAGGAAAAGCAUCCUGAGCUUCGAAAGGAGAUUAAAAUCUGAAGGUAGGGAGAUCAGACCAUCAUAACGCAACCACAAGGUUUGUAGCUUUCUUAAUCCUACGAUCCAAUUGAGGCUUGGAGCUAGAAGGGAAGGAGUUUGACACUCUAUAUCCAACCUCAAUUCUCUCAAAUUUAAUAGGUUCGAGAGGUCUGGACAUCUCAUUUGUAGAUUAUGGUACAAGUAUAUACUGGUCAUACUUUCAGGAAGCUUAGGUACAUCGGAAAUUCUCGUGCCCGUUAAUCUCAAGAUUCUCAAAAAUGAUAGUCUUCCAAUGUCACUUGGAAUUUCCCCACACAAAUAUUUACAGUCGUCAGCUUCAAUCUCUUCAAGCUUCUCCAACAUCCCGAGGGCACUAGGUAGCUUUUCUAAGAUAGCGCCAGAGAUUCUUAGUACUCUCAAAUUCUUCAUUGUCUCUAUUGAAUUGGGUAACUCUCCUAUGCUCGACCGAGAAAGAUUCAACUCAAUGAGAGAACCAAAAUUCCCAAUUGAAAAUUCACUAAUAUUUGUACCUGACAAGCGAAGAUAUAACAGUGAUGUUGAGCAACUAGCUAAAUUGCAUUCACUCAGUAAUCCACAUGAACUUGCACUGAGAGUUUCCAAUUUCUUCAUUCCUUUCCAUUCAGGAAUUUUGGUAAUCGAUGUCUCGUCAAGGAGAAGUUCUGUCAAGGCUUCCAAUCCCUCCAUCUCAUCCGGCAAUGUAUGAAGUUUCGUACAACCUUCCAAGUUAAAAAACACUAACUGCUUUAACUUACCAAUAGACCUAUCAACUUGAACCAAUUCCUUGCACCCUUGAAGAAUCAGUUGCUCUAAAUUUUCAUGAGCAGAAACGUUAGGAGUUUUAUGCAAGUUUCUGCAUUUAGUCAAAUUUAGAACUUUCAAAUUCUUUGCCACCUGUAAUGAAGAGAAGAGGUUAAUUCUAGAUCAUUUUGAGAUACGGGACAAUAAAGUUAAUAUACCAAAUUCAUGUUGAAAUAAUACCAUACCUUGAGGUGGUUCCAUCCCUCCCAAUCAUUUGUAAUUUGACUUCGUGAUAGAUCAAGAAUCACUAUCUUUUCAAGGGAAAAUGUGGUCAACUGGAAAAAGUUGGGAAACUCAUGCCAUGAGAGAUAUCUCAAAUUCGGAAGGAUAAGCAGAUUUUUCCGGAGCCGCUUGGUUGAAGGACAAUGCUGAACAAAUUUAUGCCAUGAGAGCCAUCUCAACUUUGGAAGGUUAGAUAGAUUCCUUUGGAACCAAUUGGUUAAAGAAAAAUGCUGGACAUUUUUCAUAUCCAAGUCUCCACAAUCCACUUGAAGAAACCUUAAAUUUGAUAGGCUUUCAGAUUCUUCCUUCUUAAAGAAGCGUUGCGAUCGAUGAUCAAACUUGAGACAUAUUGCUUCGACGUUUUCUGUUCCCUGUCAAAGCAAAAAAAAAAAAUUAAACAGAAGCUAGUGAUCACAUAAUUGCCUGUCGAAGGGAUUCGAAUUGAACAUACUUCAUUAAUGUGCAUUUUAUUCAUACUUUCAAAUUGAUUUAUAAUAUGAUUUACAGAUGAGCAUGUCAUCAUGGUAAGCAAAACAAGUAACGACUAGGUUCAGAUAAAAGUAAAUAGCCAAAACCAACAUGUAUAACUCGUCUCUUUGAAUAGGAAUAACAUGGCAUAAACUCUACCUUUGCUAUAAGAACAUCAUUUGCUUGCCCAUGAUCCCACACGCGACUUUGCUUCUCUGGUCUAAAUGUACCAAUCUGACGAAUGAAAUUUCGCCCAAGGUCUCUUAACAAAUCAUGCAUCCACAAUUGGUCACGUUUUGUAAUCUUUAUUAACGACAUCUGUUGGAGGACAUCAAGAUAAUAGUUAGGUAAAAACCCACAGCUUUUCCACAUGUGCCUCACAAUUUUCACAUCAAACCCAAUGAAGAAGCAACAAAUAUCGAGAAAUAUUUCCUUCGCAUGUGGUUGUAAUGCAUUGAUACUAAUGUUCAACUUUUCUUCAACCUUUUCAUCGGGAAUAGUUUCCAGCUUCUCUAAUGUGGUCUCCCAAAAUUUUCUGUCUUUUCCAGCUAGAUAUGAACCAAUGAUCUCAAGAGCCAAAGGAAGAUGACCACAGACUUUUACUGCUUUUUCAGGGAGAGGGGCGUAUUCUGCUGGAGGAUGAUCACUUUGAAACGCAUGUUUGCUGAAUAGUUGAAGAGAAUGGUCAAAAUCCAUGCCAAUUAGUUCGUGCUUCAACUCAACAUCUUUGAGAACUUCUUUGUUUCUUGUGGUAAUAAUAACCUUACUUCCUCUGCCGAACGAGCAUCUGCCCAUCCCCACAAGAGCAUCCAACUUAGUCUUUUGGUCGACAUCAUCAAGUAGAAGUAUGACCCUUUUAGAGGAUAACAAGUCCUUGAUCACUUUUUUCCCUUCGUCGAUAUCAUUGAUGGUCGGCCGUUUCUUUCCUAGGACACGAGAGGAGUUGAUUCUGCAAAUUUUCAAUUUUCCUAUCUCCAACGUUGGACAGGUAGCAACAUUUAGUGGAAUCAGUGGUCCGUUCACCUAUCACCUCCAUGAUUCUGUCUACUUGAUCGUCCAUUUGCUCCCAGGAAUUAGACCGGUUGUAAUGUUUAGUGGAAUCAGACAACAGUUUGUUAUAGACAAUUUUUGCAAGAGUUGUCUUUCCCACACCACCCAUACCAUGGAUACCAACAAUCUUUGUUUGAGUGGUCUGCUCACCUAUUAAUUCCAUGAUUUUGUCCACGUGAUCAUCCAUUUCAACCAAGAAAUCAGGUACUGCCAAGCAGUUCUUUUUCAAUUUGAUCAAAACCUUCUGAACAACUUCGUUCGUGAACUCGCCUUUGCCUCUGAUAGUUUUGAAGGAAAAGAACCAAACUGUUAAAUUGAGAUGAACAGAAAAAUAUCUAAGGUACAAACAAACCAUGCACAAUAAUAAAUUCAAGUACCUCUCCUUGAGUUCCCAUCCCUUUAACGCUCCAACCUUGUUAAGAGCUGCCUUCCAGUUUCGAAUAGUCUCAUCGGUGUACCGCUGCGUAUUUAUGUGUGACCAAAUGGCUUCACCGUAAGUUGCAGUUUGGUUACGAACCUCGGAUGGUGCAACGUCAUAGAAAAUUGGCAUGAUCUUUUGUCCCCACUUUUCCUUGCACUCCACCAUCUGGACCAACUCCAUGAGGCACCAUUUACUGGCAGCAUAUCUUUUAGAAAAGAUAGGAAUCGAGAUUUUAGAUUGCUUAAUCGCUUGGAGAAGCUCCAGCCCAAUCUCUUCCCCAACGCGAAGCUCUUCAUCAUCUCUAUAUGCCCGUAUUCCAACAUCAAUAAGGUUGUUGUAAAGGAUAUCAGUGAUGUCGUGGCGAGUAUCCGAUCCCCUAAAGCUCAAGAAUACGUCAUAAUAAGGUUCCACUGGCUUCUCCAUUUUCUGAAUUUUCAGAGGACUUGCAACAACUCAAUAUCGCACCUAGAAAAACUUUUAUUAUGAAAGUGGGGUGAUGAUUAUCAUGAUUUCUCUCAGAAAUUCUUCUGUUUGAAGUCAUUCUAUAAAGAAACCUCGAUGACAAAUGCACGAGCUCUUUCUGGAAUUGCACUGGACACCAAACUAUGUACAAUUAUUUUAUUAAAAAUAUAGUAGAGAAGUUGAUCCAUCUCAAUACUAAAGGAAGAAAUCUCCAAAUUAUUGUGAAUUUAUGGGUUUCAAUACACACUUGAAAUUGAUUGGUAAAAGGAAACUUUUGAGAAGAUAAAUCACUGUCGACUUAUUUUUGACUUGAAUUUUUAAUUAUGAGACAAAAUUUUUCUUAAAGGGUAACAUCGAAUAUCCUCUGCAUAUAAGUGCCUGCUGUGGCUUGUAGGUUGACUAAUUAUCUUAUUAUCUCAUAAGAAGUUAAGCCGAAACCGUACUCUUUUAGUUUUACCAAAAUCGAUUUGACAAGAACAUUUCACAACAGUCAAUUAGUUGCUCACUUGACCAUGAUGAGCACAGGCAAAGAAUCGCAUUCCCCUAUGACCAUCUCAUUUGAAAAAUGAAAUCAAGAAAUUACUCUGCAGCUAAUUCAACCCCCAACAUCAGACUAGUUCUGAAAAGCAUAAGCCGAUCCCCGAUUACAGCCAUCUCUUAGGUUCUUAACAAACAGAUACAGGGUAAGGGGGGAGCAUUAGCUAGGCAUGAGGCUUUUAUUCACUUCUGUCAGACAGUAUCAGCAUAUCAUAGAAAGAGGAGUGGAUUACUAAUCACUUGUGGAGUUGAUAAAACUUGAACAGAAAAAAGAAGCAUGAAUGCUAUAAGUAUUUUUCCAGCAAAAUAAGUUUGAACACACAAGAGUGCAGGAACGAGAGCCGCAUUUUAGAGAAGCUGAGAGUUCUGGUUCACCACAGAGUGCAACAUUAUAGUCACUCCAGGGUUUACCCGCCAGCUACCGGCUGACGGGGUUCCCUGGGUAUCAAAAAAAAAAACAUUAUAGUCUCUUCAGUGUGCCUCUUCUGUUAAAUACAGUGUUGAAGGUAUCAAUUUUCUGUCUAGGAGUGUUCUUGCUGCUAAUAACCAGACAAUAGUGUACUAGUUUGUUGUAUCGAAGUCUCUUAGAGACACCGGUAUCUCUGGCCGCACAAGAAAAAUCCCAUUAAACAAAUCUAAUCAACCGAUUCCACUCAAAUCUAGUUCAGAGCGCCAGCCCAGUUCCUAACAAGCGAAAUUCAAUCCCUAAUUACAAAACCAACAAGCUGAUGCAUAGAAGUGGCAUUGUGUUUCAAGGUCUGAAGCCUGACAGUUGCAAAGAUGCAGAUGAGCAGGGUUUAAGCAUUUGACCAGAGUAAGAGGCUAAAGCUGUUAGUGGUAGACGCAACUAGUAGUGAUCAAUCAUGGAGUCAACUGAAGAAAGAAUCGAUGCUGAUCCGAGAGUCCCUCUCUUGUUUCCAUCAAAUUCUGCACCUAAUUGCAUUACAGCACAGACCAAAUUCUUAAAAAAGAAGGCAAUAAAAGAGAGGAAAUUACCGGAGAUGGAGGGGGUGAAGAUGAAGAGUCCGGAUCAAAUGCUGAGAAGCAGAUAAAGAUCCCAAGAAUAAUCGUUCUUGGCUUUCGAGAUCGGCGGAAGAGAGACCAAGACUUCUAUGAGACGGUGAAUUCACCCUCCCUCGCCGUGCCCUUCCAGGAAAGUGAGGGCUUGCCAGUUGCAGGGAAACUUCAAGCCGACCCCGAAAAAGUGAGUGCGUGGUGCGUUUGACUUUUGAGGUAAUCGAGUUGAGUUUCUGGGAAAUUUCUGAAGUCCAAAGAUUCUUUGGCACGAAAAGCGAGAGCGCAAGAGAUUUUCAUUGCAUAUUAUUAGUUUAAAAAUCAUUCAGUUUAUACUAAUUGAUUUUCUCUUAAUGACGAUGAAACCCUUCUUGUAUAGGUGAACCCCAAGCCUGAUCAAAUUUUACAUAUACUAAACCUAAAAUUUAGAAUUCAUAUAUUUUAAGUAAUUAAGUUAGAUUAUGCCAAAGUUAUUUACAGUGAAUUGGGGAAAAUAAUACCACAAACGUCAUAACUUUCUCACAAUACUCAUUUUUUUUUUAAGCAAGCUCACAAUACUCAUUUGGGGAAAAGUGCCAAAAAAGUCCUAAACCUUUUGGGUUUGUGCCGAUUUAGUCCUAAACCUUUUUUUGGUGCCGAUUUAGUCCUAAACCUUUUUACGUUGUGCCAAUUAAGUCAUUUCCGACCAAUUUUGGCCGGAUUUUGCUGACUGGACGUCGGCCGGCUGACGUGGCCUGAUCGGCACUGACGUGUAUAAUUUUUAAUAAUAUUUUAAUAUUUUUGAAUAUUUUUUAUUUUAUUUUUUCUCUUUUUAUUUUUAUUUUUAUUCUUUUCUUUAUUCUUUUUCUUUUUUUCUUUUUCUUUUUUUCUUUUUCUUUUUUCUUCUCAUCUUCUUCCUCCAGCCGGUCGCCGGAGCUCGGCGACCGGCCAGAGGCGACGGCCGGCAAGGUCGACCUCGCCGGCCACCUCGCCAGUGGCCGCGAGGGCAGCCUCGCGCCGGGCGGGCAAGGCUGCCCUCGCGGCCUAGGUGGCGAGGCUCGCCCUNNNNNNNNNNNNNNNNNNNNNNNNNNNNNNNNNNNNNNNNNNNNNNNNNNNNNNNNNNNNNNNNNNNNNNNNNNNNNNNNNNNNNNNNNNNNNNNNNNNNUCCAAGGCCGGAGCCGCGCGACCGAAGAAACCCCGAGCUCCCGUAAACCCUAGAGACGACGACGACGACGAGCGGAGGAGGGAGGAAAUUUCUAGGGCGAGAUUGGGAUCGGAGAACGGAGCCGGGGAGGAGUCCAGCUGGCCUUGCGCCGAGCUAGCGGGGCUCGACCCUCGCCGGCCAUGAGCGAGGCUCGACCCUCGCCAGAUCCGGCGAGGGCGAGCCUCGCCCGCCUGGCGCGAGGCCGCCCUCGCGGCCACUGGCGAGGUGGCUGUCGAGGUCGACCUCGCCGGCCGUCGCCUCUGGCCAGUCGCCGAGCUCCGGCGACCGGCUAGAGGAAGAAGAUGAGAAGAAAAAAGAAAAAAAUAAAAUUAAAAUUAAAAAUUAAAAAAAUAUUAAAAUAUUAUUAAAAAUUGUACACGUCAGCGCCGAUCAGGCCAUGUCAGCCGGCCAGCGUCCAGUCAACAAAAUCCGGCCAAAAUUGGUCGAAAAAGACUGAAUUGGCACAACAUAAAAAGGUUUAGGACUAAAUCGGCACCAAAAAAAGGUUUAGGACUUUUUUGGCACUUUUCCCUACUCAUUUGAGUAUUAUAAUUUUAUUUGGAUUGUUGGAGUGAUAUAACUUGGGAAAAAUCCACAAAAAACCCCCAACUUUACCUAAAGUGAUAAAUUUAUCCUAAAUUUUUUUUUUCUGUAGCAUGAAAAACCCCGAAAUUUAUUAACCGUGACAUAUCUACCCUGAACUUUCAUUUGUGACACAAAAAACCCUAAAUUUUCAUUUGUGUGACAUAUUUACCAUAAAUUAUAAGAGCAUUCUGGUUUUAAAAGCUUUUUUCUUUUUCUUCCCUCCACCUGGCAAGGGCGGCCCUCGCAAGACGCUGGAGAGGGAGGCCCUUGCCUGAUGCCAAUGAGGGCCACCCUUGCUUGCGUUGGGCGAGGGGUGCCCUCGCCAAACCCUCGCCAGAUUUGGCGAGGGAGGCCCUCACCCGACGUCGAUGAGGGCCGCCCUCACCCGACACCAGUGAGGGCAGCCCUCACUGACGCCGGCUUCCCUCCGCCGGGACCGAUAGAGAAAAGAAGAAGAAAAAAAUAGAAAGUAUAAGACAAACAUGUCCUUAAUGGGGUAAAUGUGUCACAAUUUGCAAAGUUUGAGGUUUUUCGUGUCAAAAAAAAGUUUGGGUAAAUUUGUCAUUUUAAGCAAAGUUUAGGGUUUUUGGUGGUCUUUUCCCAUGUAGCUUUUGUUCGGGACUCACUUAAGCACUCUAACUUGAUUUUUUAUUACUUGAGUGUUAUAUAACAUUUUAAUCCAUCGCUUAUGCCAUAACUUUUUAAAAUCGUUCACCUAGAUACUGAAACUCAUAUUUGUACUUAAAUUUUCUAAAAGUUGUAUCACUUUCGCAAUCAAUUAAAAGUCAUGAUACUCAAGCGAACAUUUUCUUAGAAUAUUCAAGACUCAAAUAAUCGAAAAAAAAAAUAGUUAUAACAAUUAGGAAAAUGACGCAUAAAAAUUAUAGCACCUAUAAUAUUAUCAUCUCUCAAAAGCUGCAUACGGCCAAAAAGGAAUAAAGCACCAAAAAUAUUUUAUGUUUAAUCACAAUAGUGUGUUUGGUCAGCACUUAGUAGGUUGGGUAGCCACCCGACCUUAUAUGUUGUCGGAAUAUUAGGGGUGAAAUGGUGACGUCAAUAUCCGCACUACAAGUCAUCCUGAAACUUAUUUUUUACCAAGGAAACUUUUAAGAAAAAUCUAGCCAUCCUACGGUCCAAUCAUUGGAAAUUAUGACCGGCUAUAGAUAUCACGAAAUUAUAAGUAAAUCACGAACUUCAAAAUAUUAGUCAACUUAACUUAUAUUUAUAAAUUAUUUAUGGUUAAACAUAAAAUUAAUAAUAUGUUUAUAUGCAUCAAUGCUGAUCAAUCAACAAAAGAGUUAUUCCAUUGUUUUUAAACAAUGACUAGGAAAUUAAUUUAAAUUGCUAGCACAAUAUUAUACUAUAGAUAUCUAAAUCUAAAGUGAAUGCAAUCAUAUUGUAAUAUCUAUAUUUAAUAUUGAUAUUUUUAUUACAUUUUAUUCUCAAAUUGUUUUUCAUAAAAUCUCUUAUUCGUUUCAUUGCCUACAUCUAUGUCAGCUCUUACAUUAAUUUAUCAAUGAAAGUAAUGAGAUUUAAUGGCUUAAUUCAUUUACUCAUUAUUUCCCUUUUGUCGUACCAAAGACGAUGUGAGGGAGUGAAAAUCACAAUAUUUCUAUGCAUUAUAAUUAAUUAAUCCUCGUCCAAUUACUUUUCUUUUUGGAUCACCAUUUGGUAAUUGAUACGGUAGUAGUUAGUGCACUAUUUUUUUCUUUUACAGAAAGCCAAUCUUUCAGCUUCUCAGUAUUUUUUUUGGUCGGUCUUAAGCUUCUCAAUAUUGUUCAUGAACAAACAUGUUGGCUUCUAGAAGCUGGAAUGGUCGAGUAGCUUUUUCGACCCAGUCAACAUGAGGCAUCUCCAAAUUGUUUUGCUCUGCCUUGAAUCUCAACCAGUUUAGCACAACUCCAUGGGAGAAGUUUAGGACAACGUCUUCAGUGAUGGCAGACCUGCAAGCAUUAGCAAUAGUAUACAAUCCCCUGCAUCAAAAUUGUUUAGUGGUUUUUUUAAUUCUAGAAUUUCUAUCAACUCAAUUCGAUAGAGAUGAUGCUGUCAUUUUGCCUAAUAUAGUAUUGAGGAUCAUAUCGCAGCCAUGUCGAAAGGUAUCAAGUAGUACUCAUGGUGAAGUUCUUAGAUCAAAUCAGCUGAGACAAACUAAAUCUAAGGCAAGGAAAAAAGAGCUAGUGGAAAGUUUAGUUAUCUAAUUUUCUGUCAAUUUUAUCCCUCAAAAGUUUGUGUGCUUUGGAAUCUCUAGUUUCUUACAGCACUUGGGAAGUUUGCAAUUCAAUUUUUACUCCCUCACUCUCACAACCGCUAUAGGAAAGAAUACGAACUGUGGGGAGGAAGAAUUCGCAUCUGAAACAUUGACAGUCUGCACCUGAGGCAAUGGUAGGAACAGAAGAUCCACAGAAGAAGCAAUACGAAGAAAAACCUUCAACGUUGGAAGCUUAGCUUGGAUACAAUAGUAACACAAUUGAGAGAAGAAAUGUUUAUACCAUAUUUUCUGAUUGUUACAUGUGUAUAUGGAGCUUGCCACAUAUAGAGUUUUUGAGUUACUGGCCAACCACUGAAAUCAGGUGCGCAACCAACGUUUACAUUCUACCAUUAACCAAACUCAGAACAUAAAAGUAUCCUAACAACAACAAAAGAUGCUCAGACAAGUAGGAUUUCGCAAGAUCGGUUUGCAUCUUUUCCUUCAAGUCCACCACCAUCAGAACUCAGAGAAUCUUCUACCUCCUCACGCUUGUGUAUAUAAAAGAUUUUAGCUUCUUGAAGCUUGAUGGAUCUGGUAACUUCUCCAAAGAUUUAAAAGAACCUAUCCAAAGUUGCCUCCAACGAUUUUAGUCUGCCUUCGAUCUCAACCACCCUAGGACAUCACUGCAGAGAAAAUUUCUGGAGCUUCUUUAAGUUGGUCGGGACAGGCAACUUGUCCAUAGAUGGAACUCCUCCAAGCUUUAAGGCACUCAGGUUCUCCAAAACUUGGAGGCCUCUGAACUCUCCCACUUUAAAGCAAUGAGCAACUUCCAAAUCUGACAGUGCCUUCAAAUUUGAAGGGUCUAUUGAUGUUUUUAUUUCCCUGCAUGAUUCGGUAUCUAAGCACAGCAAAUUUGGGGGAAGGCCAGGUCGGCAUUGCAGCUUCUUGGAGAGGACCAUUUCCGGUUCCUUGAGCUGUGAAAGAAGAAUGAUGUGUGAAGAUGGGUGAUGAAAUAAUGAGAUUCCAACAGCAAGGAUUCCAGCUUCCCUAACCUUCUAAGCUACGAAGGACUUGGAGAUUCAAUGAAUUUAGAAGCAUCAUGGAAAUUGUCAAAACCUGAAUGUUACAUACAAUUUGAAUAUCAAAUUAAUAAAUAACUUAACAUCAAAUGAAUGUCUACAAUGAGAUUCUAACAGCAAGGAUUCCAGCUUCCCUAACCCUGUACAGAAGAUCCACCUUAAAAAGAUAUGUAGAUGUGCAAAUCUAAACGUCUCUACUUCUAAAAUGGGAGGCCUACUCACUACUCGUCGACCUGAGAACACAAUAAUAACAAUUGGCAAAUAAGGUCACAUAUCAUUUAUAUGACCAAAUCUCAUCAUGCGUAGAUAUCAGUAGAUCAUCGAUAUACACAAGUAAAUAUUUAUUCUCUACUCGUUAAUAGCCACGACUCAUCUCGACUAAAUCAAUGUACAGCUGCUUAUUUAUGUGUGACUUAAUGGCCUCACCGUAAGUUGCAGUCUGCUUACGCACCACCCAUGGUUCAAUGCCAUAGAAAAUUGGUAUGAUUUUUUGUCCCCACUUUUCCUUGCACUCCACCAUCUGGACCAAUUUCAUGAGGCACCAUUUACUAGCAGCAUAUCCUUCAGAAAAUAUAGGAAUCGAGAUUUUCGACUGCUUAAUCGCUUGAAGAAGCUCCAGGCCAAUUUCUUCCCCAAUGCAAAGCUCUUCAUCAUCUCUGUAUGCUCAUAUUCUGGCAUCAAUGAGGCCGUUGUAAAGGACAUCAGUGAUGCCAUGGCGAGUAUCUGGUCCUCUGAAGCUCAAGAAUACUUCAUAAUAAGGUUCCACUGGCUUUUCCAUUUCCUGAAUUUUCGAAGGACUUGCAACGGCUUGAUAUCCCACCCGAAAAACAUUUACUAUGAAAGUGGGGUGAUGAUUAUCAUGAUUUCUCUCAGAAACUCUUCUGUUUUAAGUCAUUCUAAAAAGCAAUCUCGGUGACAAAUGCAUGAAAUCCUUCUGGCAUUGCACUAGACACCAAAAUAUGCCCAAUUAUAAUAGAGAAGUUGACCCAUCUAAAUACUAAAGGAAGAAAUCUCCAACUUAUUGCGAAAUUAUGGGUCUUAGUUCACACUUGAAAUUGAUUGGAAAAAGGAAAAUUUAGAGAAGAUAAAUCACUGUCGACAAAUUUUUGUCUUAAACUUUUUACUUACGAGAUAAAUUUUUUCUUAAAAGGUAAAGUUGAAUGUCCCCCUGCACAUAAGCGCCUAUUGUGGCUUGUAGGUCGACUAAUUAUCUUAUUAUCUCAUAAGAAGUUAUGCCGAAACCGUCCUCUUUUAGUUUUGCCAAAAUCAAUUUGACAAAAAGAUUCCACAACAGUCGAUUGGUUGCUUACUUGAACUUAAUGGGUGCAGGCAAAGAAUCGCAGUCCCCUAUGACUAAAAGUUAGGCACAAGGCUACUAUUCACAUCUGCCAGACAGCAUCAGCGUAUCAGAAAAAGAGGAGCGGAUUACUAAUCACUUGUGAAGUUGAUAAAAGUUCAACAGAAAAAAGAAGCAUGAAUGCUGUAACUAUUUUUCCAGCAAAAUAAGUUCGACCACACAGGAGUGCAGAGACGACAGCUGCAAUUUACAGAAGCGGAGAGUUCCGGUUCACCACAGAGUGCAACAUUAUAGUGUAUUCAAUCUGUCUCUACCGUUAAAUAGAGAGCUGAGGGUAUCAAUUUUCUACCGUUCUUAAUUCUAAUCGCUAGAAAUUAUGGUACCAAAAUAUCUUAAAGAUACGAGUAUCUCUGUUCAAAAAAAGAAAAAAAAAAACAUCAAACAAAUGAAAUCAACAGAUCCACUCAAAACUAAUUUAGCUUUUAGCGACAGUAAUUCACGCCAAAACUCAGAAGAGAGAGAGAGAGAGAGAGAGAGAGAGAGAGAGAGAACACGGGUGGCGAGCUCGCAAGACUGAGUGUUGUCGAUGAUGGAACCGGACUCGCCUCCGCCUUCGCUGCAGCUGCCGCCGCCGCCGCCGAGGAGCUCACUCUGAGGCUCGACACCGCUCGUCUCCGCUUCAGCUUCGUGCCGUCUUUUCUUCUUCGCCAUUCCUGCUCUCCGAUAUCACAAAGUUCCGAUUUUUCGACAAGGUACGAGGUCGACUGGUGAAGGGUUUAGGCGUCGAUGUUGGUGGUGGUAUUGCGUUUCAGGAUCUGAGGCCUGACAGUUGCAUAGAUGGAAGUGGAUGAGCAGGGCUUUAGCAUGAACGUUCUCGGCCUUUGAGAUCGGCAGAAGAGAGACAAAGACUCCUAUCAAACGGUGAAUUCAGCCUCCCUCGCCGGGCCUCAAAACGGGAGGCGGGCUCGGGCUACGCUACACCAAAACGGAAAGUUGAGUGAUAUGGACGGCCCUGAUUUCUCCGGCUACCGAAUGGAGAAUCCUCGCUGUCGACUGUCGAGUGAAAGGGCUGGUUAAGUUUCUUGGGCCUUAACGUUGGUGAUUGGAGAUGGGCAAGGCCCACAAUCCAUGUGGGGAAUGCAGCGCAUAAAACGAGCAGUCUGGCCCAAGGCCUUAAGAUCCACAGCAGAAGCAAUACGAAAAACCCUUCUACGUUGGAAGCUUAGCCUGGAUUCGAUAGUAACACAAUCGGGAGAAGAAAUAUUUGUACUGAUGUUUUCUGAUUAUUACAUAAGCAUAAGGAGCUUGCAAUAUACAGAGUUUUGAGUUGCCGGCCAACCACUGAAAUCAGGUGCGCAACUUACAUUUACAUUCUCUACCAUUAACCAAACUCAGAAGUCCAAGAGAUAAAAGUAUCCUGAAAACAACAAAAAGAUACUCGGACAAGUUGGAUUCCGCAAGAUCAGACUGCCUCUCUUCCUUCAUAUCCUCCACCGAUCAUCAGAACUCAGAGAAUCUUCUACCUUCUCACGCUUGUGUAUACAAAAAGAUUUUAGCUUCUUGAAGCUUGAUGGAUCCGGUUUAGUCUGCCUUGGAUCUCGACCACUUUAGGACAUCACUGCAGAUAAAAUUUCUGGAGCUUCUUCAAGUUGGUCAGGUCAGGCAACUUGUCCAUAGAUGGUACUCCUCCAAGCUUGAAGGCACUUGGGUUCUCCAAAACUCGGAGGCCUCUGAACUCACUUUAGGGCAAUGAAGCCGAGUUAUCCAGACAAGUGGAAAGGAAAGAACGGCUUAUACUGCGUGGGACUGUUGAGGAGAGGGUUCUUGGGAGCUUCUCUCGACGCCCAGGGGCAACUUCCAAAUCUGACGGCGCCUUUGAAUUUGAAAGGUCUAUUGAUGUUUUUAUUUCCCUGCAUGAUUCAGUAUCUAAGUACAGCAAAUUUGGGGGAAGGCCAGGUCGGCAUUGCAGCUUCUUGGAGGGGACCAGUUCCCGUUCCUUGAGCUGUGAAAGAAGAAUGAUGUGUGAAGAUGGGGUGACGAAAUAAUGAGAUUUCAACAGCAAGGAUUCCAGCUUCCCUAACCUUCCAAGCUACCAAGGACUUGGAGCUUCAAUGAAUUUGAAAGCAUCAUCGAAAUUGUCAAAACCUGAAUUUUACAUAUAAUUUGAAUAUCGAAUUAAUAAAUAACUUAACAUCAAAUGAAUGUCUACAGUGAGAUCCUAACAGCAAGGAUUCUAGCUUCCCUAACCUUGUACAGAAUAUUCACCUUAAAAAGAUAUGUAGAAGCACAAAUCUACAUGUCCCUAAACUCCAAACCAACCAAUAUGUAUAAUAUUUUUUAGGGAGUGAGUUUAAGUUCAGUAAAUGAAAGCUCUACUUCCAAAAUGGGAGGCCUACUCACUACUUGAACCGAGAACACAACAAUAACAAUUGGCAAAUAAAGUCAUAUAUCAUUAUAUGACCAAAUCUCAUGAUGCAUAGAUAUCAGCAGCUCAUCGAUAUACACAAGUAAAUAUUUAUUCCCAACUCGUUAAUAGCCAUGACUCAUUCGACGGACUCAACCAACAAGAUAUCGUAACCACUAAAUAAUGCAGGACGAAAUCAUAAAUACAUACCACACUUCAACCCAUUCAUCACAUGUAUCCUCCAACGAUGAUAAAUACAGUAGAAACACAUAACGAUGCCUAUUCGUGGACUCAUUCUCAUCAAGAUUCAUACCCAUUCUAUUUUAUUUCUUUUCUCAAUCUUGGACCUUAAAUUCAUAACGUCAAGUAUGGGCUAUUUAAUUCACAUUAUGUCACGGAAGUCAUAUCAUUUCACGUAUGAAUCAUUGCACUUCAUGUCCUCCAACCCUAUAGAGACCCACCCUAAACAGUAGAAUAAUCAUUUUCUCCAGAGUCUUAUAUACAUACACAGGAAAAUUAACUGCAGUGCUGGUAUAUUACUAACAACACUUGCAGAAUUUCCAUGGAGUUGGUAAUUUACUUAAUUAUUAGAAUAUUGGUAAAUUCCUAAUAGUCUUGUUCAUUCACUUACGACAAUGGUAAAAUUUCAAAGGAGUUGAUAAUUUACGACUUCCUUAUAUCGAUAAAUUUCUGAUAGUGUUAGUAAUUUAUUUAAUAUUCAGGUAGAAUAUAAGAAGAUUUGGUAAUUUACCAAAUUAGUGGAAAUACGAUAAAUUUAUGAUUAUAUUGAUAAUUUACAACUGAUUCACCAAACAAGCAGGUAACCAGUCUUUUUUUUUUUUUAAACCAGCAAAAUUGGAAUUCUACCAACACGGAAAAUUUUCAAUUUUCCAACCCACGGCACCGUAGAAUUUUGCCCGGAAGUUUCUACAUCUCUACUUCUUCGACAAGAACUUAAAUCCCAACUGAUAAUUUCAAUUACUGAAACUUGAUACGUAGUCAUUAAUCAUUCAUAAGCCCCUGUAGAAAUCUGUUUUAAGUUAUGAAAACUAAAGGACCUUUGAGACCAUUGCACAUGAUCAUUAACUAGGGAGGGUUAUGUUCAUGCUAGGCACAAUGUUUUGCCCCUACUUCUUCAUUUCUUCAAUGUGAAAUUUUCAUGGGAAAUCCGCAACAAUUCUGUGAAUAUGGUUGCUGAUGUCUAAUUGAAUUCGUGACACUGAAUGCAACACAUUGAACAUUAAAAUCUGCGAAUAAAUUCUGGAGCAAGUUAUCUUGAAUCCUCAAUGAAUUUCUCCCAUGACGAGAUUAAUUACUAAUUGCACCCGCUAAAAAUUUUAGAAGUAGGACCACAACAGAACAUAAAAAGAAGAAAGAAAUUGCAGAACCAAUCGAUUAUAGGAAGUUUUCAUGCCUUCCAGGACAAUAUUUCGGUUUCAGCUAGACCUUGACAAGCUCAGAAGAACAACUGAUUCCCCAUGUAUGUUUUGAACUAGUUCCUAAGGAGCGAAAAUCAAUCCCCUAAUUGGUGCAGAAGUUAAUUGACGCACAGGAGUAGCAAUGUGUUUCAUAGAAUGCGACUUGUGGUUUAGACCAAAGCUAUUAAAGAUUAGAAACAGAUGGAAAAAAAUCAAUCGAGUCAGCUCCCUAGUGAGUUCAUCGAAAGGCUGUUUUCAUUGCGUAUGAAUGAUAAGUCGUGACUGAAAAUAAUAAAAACAACUCGAUCCGUUCCAAAUCUUUUCCUAAUGCAUCACUGAUUGCAUCGAAGUUUCGCACGCGGACCCAAUUCAUGCAAAAUGCGAAGAGAGAAAAUUACCAGAGAAGGGAUUCAGGUGAAGAUGAAGAAAACUAAAUGAAGAUGGCAGAGAAGGAAGAACCCUCGUUGGCCUCAGUCAGCUGCAACCAAAAUGGAAAAGGAAGACCACGGUCUAUUAACCCUUCGUGGGAACAGAGCGGCAGGCAGGAAGACGUGGUCGCAGUCCCCGGAGGGAGAUCUCCGCUGGGUCGGAUCGCGUCUCGUGAUUCGGCUAGGAGUCGCCGUCGCUGCUGGCUCUGGGCGAGCUUCUCGCUCGGGUCGUCGCUGAUGAGGGGAGGAAGACGAAGUAUGGAGAACGCGAGAGGGCGAGAGAGAGAGAGAGAGGAAGAGAGAGCGCAACGGAAGAAAAAUGAAAGACAAAAAAAAACAAAAAGAGAGAGAGAGAGAGAGAGAGAGAAAGAGAGAGAGUUGAAAUUUCUUAAGAGUGGGGUCCCACUUACGCACGUCAUUUCGAGAUAAUAUUCCUCACCACUCCAGUUCGAUAUCUCUUCUCCGUGAUCCUCUGCGCACGUAACCAUGCCUGUGAUAUCCGCCUACUCUCACUUUUUUCAAAUAUCUGUACUCAUCGGAUUUUAGGAUCUCCUCCAAUUUUUCACAAUCUUCUAUAGACGAGUACUGUAGCUUCUUGAAGCUUGAAGGAUCAGAAAACUUUCGCAGGGACCUGCACUUAAAAAUAUCAAGUCCCUUCAAUGAUUCUAGCCUACCUCGAAUCUCAACUAGACAAGGACAAUCAUAUAAGUCAAGAUGCUCGAGCUCCUUGUUGUUGGUCAGGUCAAGCAACUUAUCUAGCAACGGAAGACCCCACAAACAUAAGUCUAUUAAGUUCUCCGAAUUUUCCAGGCCUUGAAUCUUUUUCAACUUCGGACAGCGAGAUAUAUCUAAGUUUUCUAUAUGCUUGAAGGUUAGUGGAUCAAGCAGCUUUGCAAGUGAUUCACACUUCUCUAAAUAGAGCUCCUUCAACGAUUCUAGAUGACCUCGAACCUCAACCAAUUUAGGACAACCAACUAUCGCAAGGCUCCAGAGUUUCUUCAAGCCUGUCAAGUCAGGCAACUUCACAAGCAAUGGAAGAUUAGCAAGGUCAAGCCUCUGCAGGUUUUUCAAAUGUUCGAGGUCUUGAAUCUUUAUUAGCUGUUCACAACCAUCAUCUUUCAAUUCUAAUAACUUCCCCAAAUAUGAAAGAUUUAUCGACAUUAACUGCUGCCCAACAAAAUGGAAGUAUGACAAAUUCUGGGGAAGCCAAGGUAGGCAUCCUAGGCUAUUUAGGACAAGUUUGAGCUUCCUAAGCUUCGCGAGGAGAUUAAAAUUUGAAGGUAGGGUGACUAGACCAUCACCACCCAACCACAAGGACUCUAGCUUUCUUAACUCUCCAAUCCAAUUGAGGCUUGGAGCUAGAUCAAAAGGGUUUUGAUACUUCACUUCCAACACCAAAACUCUCAAAUUUAAUAGGUUCGAGAGAUCUGGACAUCUCAUCCGUCGAUUACCGGUCAGGUAUAGUUCGGUCAUACUUUCAGGAAGCUUAGGUAUAUUGGAAAUUCCCGUUCCCGUCAACCUCAAGAUUUUUAGAAACGACAAUCUUCUGAUCUCAGUUGGAAUUUCCCCAUACAAAAAUUGACAAUCGCCAGCUUCAAUCUCUUCAAGCUCUUCCAACAUCCCAAGGGCGCUAGGUAGCUUUUCUAAGAUGGAGUGAGAGAGCCUUAGUACUCUCAAAUUCUUCAUUGUCUCUAUUGAGUUGGGUAACUCUCGUAUUUUCGUCCAACAAAGAUUCAACUCAAUGAGAGAUCCAAAAUUUCCAAAUGGAAGUUCACUAAUUCCGGUACUUGUGAAGUUAAGAUAUGAUAGUGAUGUUGAGCAACCAGCUAAAUUGCAUUCACUCAGUAAUCUACAAUAAGCCGCACCGAGAGUUUCCAAUUUCUCCAUUCCUUUCCAUUCAGGAAUGUUGGUAAUAGAUGUGUGAUCAACAAGAAGUUCCGUCAAGGCUUCCAAUUCCUCCAUCUCGUCUGGCAAUGUGUGAAGUUUCCCACAAUAUUUCAAGUUUAAUAACACUAAAUGCUUUAACUCACCAAUAGACCUAUCAACUUGAACCAGUUCUCUGCACCCUUCAAGAAUCAAUUGCUCUAACUUUUGAUGAGCGGAAAAGUUAGGAGUUCUAAGCAAGUUUUUGCAAUCGGUCAAAUUUAGAACCUUCAAAUUCUCUGCCGUCUGUAAUGAAGAGAAGAGGUUGAUUCUGAAUCAUUUAGAGAUAUAGGGAAGCAAAGUCAAUAGAACAAAUUCAUUUUGAAAUAAUACCAUACCUUGAGGUGGUUCCAUCCCUCCCACUCAUCUGAAAUUUUACUCCUUGAUAGAUCAACAAUCACUAGCUUCUUAAGAGAACGUGCGGUGAACUUGAAAAAGAUAGGAAAGUUAUGCCAUGAGAGCCAUCUCAAUUUCGGAAGCAUGAUUGGAUUCCUCUGGACCUAGUUGGUAGAAGGAAAAUGCUGACCGUUGGUCUCCUCCGAGUCUACACAAUCCACUUGAAGAAAUCUUAAUUUUGAUAAGAUAGAUUUUCCAUUCUCAAUGGAGUCUUGAAAUUGAUGAUUAAACAUGAGACGUAUUGCUUCAACAUUUUUUCUUCCCUGCCAAAAAAAUAAUAAUAUCUAAAACUAAAUAGAAGCUAGUGAUCAUAUAAUUGCUUGUUGAAGGCAUUCAAGUUGAAUACAUUUGAGGAAUGUAUAUCUUAUAUAUAAUUUAAAAUUAAUUUACAAUAUAAUUUACAAAUGAGCAUGUCAUCGUACUAAGCACACAAGUAACGACUCGGUUCAGAUAGAAGCAAAUAAGCAAAGUCAACGUUUUUAACUCGUCUCUUUGAAUAGGAAUAACAGUGUGAACACCUUACCUCCUCUGUUUCUAGAACAUCAAUAGCUUCUUCAUGAUCCCACACCCGACUCUGCUUCUCUCUAGCUCUCUCACGAACGAUGACUCGCCCAAGGUCUCUUAACUGAUCAUGCACCCACAGUUGGUUACCUUUUGCGAUCUUUAUUAAUGACCUCUGUUUGAGGACUUCAAGAGAACAUUCAGGGAAAAACUCACAGCUGUCCCACAUGUAAGUCACAAUUCUCACAUUGAACCCAACAAAGAAGCAACAGACAUCAAGAAAUAUUUCCUGCUCUUGAGUUUCUAAUGCCUCGAAACUGAUGUUUAACUUAUUUUUAACCUUUUCAUUGGGAAUGGUCUCCAGCUUCUUUAACACAUUCUUCCAUUUAUUUAUGUCAUUUCUAUGCAAAAGUGAACCUAUAAUUUCAAGAGCCAAAGGAAGAUGACCACAGAUUUCUACUGCUUUUUGCGAGAGGGAGACAUAUUCUGCUGGAGGAGAAUCUCUUCCAAAGGCAUGUCUGCUAAACAGUUGAAGAGAAUGACCAAAAUCCAUUUCAGUAAGUUCAUGUUGAAAAUCAACAACUUUGAGAAGUUCCUUGUCUCUUGUAGUAAUAAUAACCUUACUUCCUCUGCUGAACCAACAUUCACCUGUCCCCACAAGAGCCUCCAGCUGAGUGUUUUGGUCGACAUCAUCAAGUAAAAGUAAAACCUUUUUAGAGGAUAACCUAUUCUUGAUUUCAGUAAUCCCUUCAUUAAUACUCUUGAUGGAUGGGCAUUCCUUUCUUAGGACGUCGGAGAUGAGUUGAUUCUGCAAACUAACAAUCUUUGUUUCUCGAAUGUUAGAUAGGAAGCAACAGUUAUCAAAAUCAGCCAACAGUUUAUUAUAGAGAAUUGUGGCAAGAGUUGUCUUUCCGACACCACCCAUACCAUAGAUACCAACAAUCUUUGUUCCGGUGGUCUGUUCGCCUAUCUUUUCCAUGAUUUGGUCCACUUGAUCAUCCAUUUCAACCAAGCAAUUAGUUACUGCCAGGUAGUUCUUUUUCAACUCGAUCAAAAGCUUCUGAACAAUUUCUU